rnacentral:lncRNA from 1 species
GGGUUAGGGUUAGGGUUGGAGCUAGGGUUAGGGUUAGGGUUAGGGUUGGAGUUAGGGUUAGUGUUGGAGCUAGGGUUAGGGUUGGGCUUGGAGCUAGGAUUUUUCUGAGUGCACUGAACCAACUCCCGAGUCUCUAGGACGUUCCUAAAAAAAUUUGAUUUUUUCCCAUAGGAAUGCAUGGGUUAGGGUUAUGGUUAGGGUUAGGGUUUGAGCUAGGGUUAGGGUUAGGGUUAGGGUUGGAGUUAGGGUUAGUGUUGGAGCUAGGGUUAGGGUUGGGCUUGGAGCUAGGAUUUUUCUGAGUGCACUGAACCAACUCCCGAGUCUCUAGGACGUUCCUAAAAAAAUUUGAUUUUUUCCCAUAGGAAUGCAUGGGUUAGGGUUAGGGUUAGGGUUGGAGCUAGGGUUAGGGUUAGGGUUAGGGUUGGAGUUAGGGUUAGUGUUGGAGCUAGGGUUAGGGUUGGGCUUGGAGCUAAGAUUUUUCUGAGUGCACUGAACCAACUCCCGAGUCUCUAGGACAUUCCUAAAAAAAUUUGAUUUUUUCCCAUAGGAAUGCAUGGGUUAGGGUUAUGGUUAGGGUUGGAGCUAGGGUUAGGGUUAGGGUUAGGGUUGGAGUUAGGGUUAGUGUUGGAGCUAGGGUUAGGGUUGGGCUUGGAGCUAGGAUUUUUCUGAGUGCACUGAACCAACUCCCGAGUCUCUAGGACAUUCCUAAAAAAUUUGAGUUUUUCCCAUAGGAAUGCAUGGGUUAGGGUUAGGGUUAGGGUUGGAGCUAGGGUUAGGGUUAGGGUUAGGGUUGGAGUUAGGGUUAGUGUUGGAGCUAGGGUUAGGGUUGGGCUUGGAGCUAGGAUUUUUCUGAGUGCACUGAACCAACUCCCGAGUCUCUAGGACAUUCCUAAAAAAAUUUGAUUUUUUCCCAUAGGAAUGCAUGGGUUAGGGUUAUGGUUAGGGUUGGAGCUAGGGUUAGGGUUAGGGUUAGGGUUGGAGUUAGGGUUAGUGUGUUGGAGCUAGGGUUAGGGUUGGGCUUGGAGCUAGGAUUUUUCUGAGUGCACUGAACCAACUCCCGAGUCUCUAGGACAUUCCUAAAAAAAUUUGAGUUUUUCCCAUAGGAAUGCAUGGGUUAGGGUUAGGGUUAGGGUUGGAGCUAGGGUUAGGGUUAGGGUUAGGGUUGGAGUUAGGGUUAGUGUUGGAGCUAGGGUUAGGGUUGGGCUUGGAGCUAGGAUUUUUCUGAGUGCACUGAACCAACUCCCGAGUCUCUAGGACAUUCCUAAAAAAAUUUGAUUUUUUCCCAUAGGAAUGCAUGGGUUAGGGUUAUGGUUAGGGUUAGGGUUGGAGCUAGGGUUAGGGUUAGGGUUAGGGUUGGAGUUAGGGUUAGUGUUGGAGCUAGGGUUAGGGUUGGGCUUGGAGCUAGGAUUUUUCUGAGUGCACUGAACCAACUCCCGAGUCUCUAGGACAUUCCUAAAAAAAUUUGAUUUUUUCCCAUAGGAAUGCAUGGGUUAGGGUUAUGGUUAGGGUUAGGGUUGGAGCUAGGGUUAGGGUUAGGGUUAGGGUUGGAGUUAGGGUUAGUGUUGGAGCUAGGGUUAGGGUUGGGCUUGGAGCUAGGAUUUUUCUGAGUGCACUGAACCAACUCCCGAGUCUCUAGGACAUUCCUAAAAAAAUUUGAUUUUUUCCCAUAGGAAUGCAUGGGUUAGGGUUAUGGUUAGGGUUAGGGUUGGAGCUAGGGUUAGGGUUAGGGUUAGGGUUGGAGUUAGGGUUAGUGUUGGAGCUAGGGUUAGGGUUGGGCUUGGAGCUAGGAUUUUUCUGAGUGCACUGAACCAACUCCCGAGUCUCUAGGACAUUCCUAAAAAAAUUUGAGUUUUUCCCAUAGGAAUGCAUGGGUUAGGGUUAUGGUUAGGGUUAGGGUUGGAGCUAGGGUUAGGGUUAGGGUUAGGGUUGGAGUUAGGGUUAGUGUUGGAGCUAGGGUUAGGGUUGGGCUUGGAGCUAGGAUUUUUCUGAGUGCACUGAACCAACUCCCGAGUCUCUAGGACAUUCCUAAAAAAAUUUGAUUUUUUUCCCAUAGGAAUGCAUGGGUUAGGGUUAUGGUUAGGGUUAGGGUUGGAGCUAGGGUUAGGGUUAGGGUUAGGGUUGGAGUUAGGGUUAGUGUUGGAGCUAGGGUUAGGGUUGGGCUUGGAGCUAGGAUUUUUCUGAGUGCAUUGAACCAACUCCCGAGUCUCUAGGACAUUCCUAAAAAAAAUUGAUUUUUUCCCAUAGGAAUGCAUGGGUUAGGGUUAUGGUUAGGGUUAGGGUUGGAGCUAGGGUUAGGGUUAGGGUUAGGGUUGGAGUUAGGGUUAGUGUUGGAGCUAGGGUUAGGGUUGGGCUUGGAGCUAGGAUUUUUCUGAGUGCCCUGAACCAACUCCCGAGUCUCUAGGACAUUCCUAAAAAAAUUUGAUUUUUUCCCAUAGGAAUGCAUGGGUUAGGGUUAUGGUUAGGGUUAGGGUUGGAGCUAGGGUUAGGGUUAGGGUUAGGGUUGGAGUUAGGGUUAGUGUUGGAGCUAGGGUUAGGGUUGGGCUUGGAGCUAGGAUUUUUCUGAGUGCACUGAACCAACUCCCGAGUCUCUAGGACAUUCCUAAAAAAAUUUGAUUUUUUCCCAUAGGAAUGCAUGGGUUAGGGUUAUGGUUAGGGUUAGGGUUGGAGCUAGGGUUAGGGUUAGGGUUAGGGUUGGAGUUAGGGUUAGUGUUGGAGCUAGGGUUAGGGUUGGGCUUGGAGCUAGGAUUUUUCUGAGUGCACUGAACCAACUCCCGAGUCUCUAGGACAUUCCUAAAAAAAUUUGAUUUUUUCCCAUAGGAAUGCAUGGGUUAGGGUUAGGGUUAGGGUUGGAGCUAGGGUUAGGGUUAGGGUUAGGGUUGGAGUUAGGGUUAGUGUUGGAGCUAGGGUUAGGGUUGGGCUUGGAGCUAGGAUUUUUCUGAGUGCACUGAACCAACUCCCGAGUCUCUAGGACAUUCCUAAAAAAAUUUGAGUUUUUCCCAUAGGAAUGCAUGGGUUAGGGUUAGGGUUAGGGUUGGAGCUAGGGUUAGGGUUAGGGUUAGGGUUGGAGUUAGGGUUAGUGUUGGAGCUAGGGUUAGGGUUGGGCUUGGAGCUAGGAUUUUUCUGAGUGCACUGAACCAACUCCCGAGUCUCUAGGACAUUCCUAAAAAAAUUUGAUUUUUUCCCAUAGGAAUGCAUGGGUUAGGGUUAGGGUUAGGGUUGGAGCUAGGGUUAGGGUUAGGGUUGCAGUUAGGGUUAGUGUUGGAGCUAGGGUUAGGGUUGGGCUUGGAGCUAGGAUUUUUCUGAGUGCACUGAACCAACUCCCGAGUCUCUAGGACAUUCCUAAAAAAAUUUGAUUUUUUCCCAUAGGAAUGCAUGGGUUAGGGUUAUGGUUAGGGUUAGGGUUGGAGCUAGGGUUAGGGUUAGGGUUAGGGUUGGAGUUAGAGUUAGUGUUGGAGCUAGGGUUAGGGUUGGGCUUGGAGCUAGGAUUUUUCUGAGUGCACUGAACCAACUCCCGAGUCUCUAGGACAUUCCUAAAAAAAUUUGAUUUUUUCCCAUAGGAAUGCAUGGGUUAGGGUUAUGGUUAGGGUUAGGGUUGGAGCUAGGGUUAGGGUUAGGGUUAGGGUUGGAGUUAGGGUUAGUGUUGGAGCUAGGGUUAGGGUUGGGCUUGGAGCUAGGAUUUUUCUGAGUGCACUGAACCAACUCCCGAGUCUCUAGGACGUUCCUAAAAAAAUUUGAUUUUUUCCCAUAGGAAUGCAUGGGUUAGGGUUAGGGUUAGGGUUGGAGCUAGGGUUAGGGUUAGGGUUAGGGUUGGAGUUAGGGUUAGUGUUGGAGCUAGGGUUAGGGUUGGGCUUGGAGCUAGGAUUUUUCUGAGUGCACUGAACCAACUCCCGAGUCUCUAGGACAUUCCUAAAAAAAAUUUGAUUUUUUCCCAUAGGAAUGCAUGGGUUAGGGUUAUGGUUAGGGUUAGGGUUGGAGCUAGGGUUAGGGUUAGGGUUAGGGUUGGAGUUAGGGUUAGUGUUGGAGCUAGGGUUAGGGUUGGGCUUGGAGCUAGGAUUUUUCUGAGUGCACUGAACCAACUCCCGAGUCUCUAGGACAUUCCUAAAAAAAUUUGAUUUUUUUCCCAUAGGAAUGCAUGGGUUAGGGUUAUGGUUAGGGUUAGGGUUGGAGCUAGGGUUAGGGUUAGGGUUAGGGUUGGAGUUAGGGUUAGUGUUGGAGCUAGGGUUAGGGUUGGGCUUGGAGCUAGGAUUUUUCUGAGUGCACUGAACCAACUCCCGAGUCUCUAGGACAUUCCUAAAAAAAUUUGAUUUUUUCCCAUAGGAAUGCAUGGGUUAGGGUUAGGGUUAGGGUUGGAGCUAGGGUUAGGGUUAGGGUUAGGGUUGGAGUUAGGGUUAGUGUUGGAGCUAGGGUUAGGGUUGGGCUUGGAGCUAGGAUUUUUCUGAGUGCACUGAACCAACUCCCGAGUCUCUAGGACAUUCCUAAAAAAAUUUGAUUUUUUCCCAUAGGAAUGCAUGGGUUAGGGUUAUGGUUAGGGUUAGGGUUGGAGCUAGGGUUAGGGUUAGGGUUAGGGUUGGAGUUAGGGUUAGUGUUGGAGCUAGGGUUAGGGUUGGGCUUGGAGCUAGGAUUUUUCUGAGUGCACUGAACCAACUCCCGAGUCUCUAGGACAUUCCUAAAAAAAUUUGAUUUUUUCCCAUAGGAAUGCAUGGGUUAGGGUUAUGGUUAGGGUUAGGGUUGGAGCUAGGGUUAGGGUUAGGGUUAGGGUUGGAGUUAGGGUUAGUGUUGGAGCUAGGGUUAGGGUUGGGCUUGGAGCUAGGAUUUUUCUGAGUGCACUGAACCAACUCCCGAGUCUCUAGGACGUUCCUAAAAAAAUUUGAUUUUUUCCCAUAGGAAUGCAUGGGUUAGGGUUAGGGUUAGGGUUGGAGCUAGGGUUAGGGUUAGGGUUAGGGUUGGAGUUAGGGUUAGUGUUGGAGCUAGGGUUAGGGUUGGGCUUGGAGCUAGGAUUUUUCUGAGUGCACUGAACCAACUCCCGAGUCUCUAGGACAUUCCUAAAAAAAUUUGAUUUUUUCCCAUAGGAAUGCAUGGGUUAGGGUUAGGGUUAGGGUUGGAGCUAGGGUUAGGGUUAGGGUUGCAGUUAGGGUUAGUGUUGGAGCUAGGGUUAGGGUUGGGCUUGGAGCUAGGAUUUUUCUGAGUGCACUGAACCAACUCCCGAGUCUCUAGGACAUUCCUAAAAAAAUUUGAUUUUUUCCCAUAGGAAUGCAUGGGUUAGGGUUAUGGUUAGGGUUAGGGUUGGAGCUAGGGUUAGGGUUAGGGUUAGGGUUGGAGUUAGGGUUAGUGUUGGAGCUAGGGUUAGGGUUGGGCUUGGAGCUAGGAUUUUUCUGAGUGCACUGAACCAACUCCCGAGUCUCUAGGACGUUCCUAAAAAAAUUUGAUUUUUUCCCAUAGGAAUGCAUGGGUUAGGGUUAGGGUUAGGGUUGGAGCUAGGGUUAGGGUUAGGGUUAGGGUUGGAGUUAGGGUUAGUGUUGGAGCUAGGGUUAGGGUUGGGCUUGGAGCUAGGAUUUUUCUGAGUGCACUGAACCAACUCCCGAGUCUCUAGGACGUUCCUAAAAAAAUUUGAUUUUUUCCCAUAGGAAUGCAUGGGUUAGGGUUAGGGUUAGGGUUGGAGCUAGGGUUAGGGUUAGGGUUAGGGUUGGAGUUAGGGUUAGUGUUGGAGCUAGGGUUAGGGUUGGGCUUGGAGCUAGGAUUUUUCUGAGUGCACUGAACCAACUCCCGAGUCUCUAGGACAUUCCUAAAAAAAUUUGAUUUUUUCCCAUAGGAAUGCAUGGGUUAGGGUUAGGGUUAGGGUUGGAGCUAGGGUUAGGGUUAGGGUUGCAGUUAGGGUUAGUGUUGGAGCUAGGGUUAGGGUUGGGCUUGGAGCUAGGAUUUUUCUGAGUGCACUGAACCAACUCCCGAGUCUCUAGGACAUUCCUAAAAAAAUUUGAUUUUUUCCCAUAGGAAUGCAUGGGUUAGGGUUAUGGUUAGGGUUAGGGUUGGAGCUAGGGUUAGGGUUAGGGUUAGGGUUGGAGUUAGGGUUAGUGUUGGAGCUAGGGUUAGGGUUGGGCUUGGAGCUAGGAUUUUUCUGAGUGCACUGAACCAACUCCCGAGUCUCUAGGACGUUCCUAAAAAAAUUUGAUUUUUUCCCAUAGGAAUGCAUGGGUUAGGGUUAGGGUUAGGGUUGGAGCUAGGGUUAGGGUUAGGGUUAGGGUUGGAGUUAGGGUUAGUGUUGGAGCUAGGGUUAGGGUUGGGCUUGGAGCUAGGAUUUUUCUGAGUGCACUGAACCAACUCCCGAGUCUCUAGGACAUUCCUAAAAAAAAUUGAGUUUUUCCCAUAGGAAUGCAUGGGUUAGGGUUAGGGUUAGGGUUGGAGCUAGGGUUAGGGUUAGGGUUAGGGUUGGAGUUAGGGUUAGUGUUGGAGCUAGGGUUAGGGUUGGGCUUGGAGCUAGGAUUUUUCUGAGUGCACUGAACCAACUCCCGAGUCUCUAGGACAUUCCUAAAAAAUUUGAUUUUUUCCCAUAGGAAUGCAUGGGUUAGGGUUAUGGUUAGGGUUAGGGUUGGAGCUAGGGUUAGGGUUAGGGUUAGGGUUGGAGUUAGGGUUAGUGUUGGAGCUAGGGUUAGGGUUGGGCUUGGAGCUAGGAUUUUUCUGAGUGCACUGAACCAACUCCCGAGUCUCUAGGACAUUCCUAAAAAAAUUUGAUUUUUUCCCAUAGGAAUGCAUGGGUUAGGGUUAGGGUUAGGGUUGGAGCUAGGGUUAGGGUUAGGGUUGGAGUUAGGGUUAGUGUUGGAGCUAGGGUUAGGGUUGGGCUUGGAGCUAGGAUUUUUCUGAGUGCACUGAACCAACUCCCGAGUCUCUAGGACAUUCCUAAAAAAAUUUGAUUUUUUCCCAUAGGAAUGCAUGGGUUAGGGUUAUGGUUAGGGUUAGGGUUGGAGCUAGGGUUAGGGUUAGGGUUAGGGUUGGAGUUAGGGUUAGUGUUGGAGCUAGGGUUAGGGUUGGGCUUGGAGCUAGGAUUUUUCUGAGUGCACUGAACCAACUCCCGAGUCUCUAGGACAUUCCUAAAAAAAUUUGAUUUUUUCCCAUAGGAAUGCAUGGGUUAGGGUUAUGGUUAGGGUUAGGGUUGGAGCUAGGGUUAGGGUUAGGGUUAGGGUUGGAGUUAGGGUUAGUGUUGGAGCUAGGGUUAGGGUUGGGCUUGGAGCUAGGAUUUUUCUGAGUGCACUGAACCAACUCCCGAGUCUCUAGGACAUUCCUAAAAAAAUUUGAUUUUUUCCCAUAGGAAUGCAUGGGUUAGGGUUAUGGUUAGGGUUAGGGUUGGAGCUAGGGUUAGGGUUAGGGUUAGGGUUGGAGUUAGGGUUAGUGUUGGAGCUAGGGUUAGGGUUGGGCUUGGAGCUAGGAUUUUUCUGAGUGCACUGAACCAACUCCCGAGUCUCUAGGACAUUCCUAAAAAAAUUUGAUUUUUUCCCAUAGGAAUGCAUGGGUUAGGGUUAUGGUUAGGGUUAGGGUUGGAGCUAGGGUUAGGGUUAGGGUUAGGGUUGGAGUUAGGGUUAGUGUUGGAGCUAGGGUUAGGGUUGGGCUUGGAGCUAGGAUUUUUCUGAGUGCACUGAACCAACUCCCGAGUCUCUAGGACGUUCCUAAAAAAAUUUGAUUUUUUCCCAUAGGAAUGCAUGGGUUAGGGUUAGGGUUAGGGUUGGAGCUAGGGUUAGGGUUAGGGUUAGGGUUGGAGUUAGGGUUAGUGUUGGAGCUAGGGUUAGGGUUGGGCUUGGAGCUAGGAUUUUUCUGAGUGCACUGAACCAACUCCCGAGUCUCUAGGACAUUCCUAAAAAAAUUUGAGUUUUUCCCAUAGGAAUGCAUGGGUUAGGGUUAGGGUUAGGGUUGGAGCUAGGGUUAGGGUUAGGGUUAGGGUUGGAGUUAGGGUUAGUGUUGGAGCUAGGGUUAGGGUUGGGCUUGGAGCUAGGAUUUUUCUGAGUGCACUGAACCAACUCCCGAGUCUCUAGGACAUUCCUAAAAAAAUUUGAUUUUUUCCCAUAGGAAUGCAUGGGUUAGGGUUAUGGUUAGGGUUAGGGUUGGAGCUAGGGUUAGGGUUAGGGUUAGGGUUGGAGUUAGGGUUAGUGUUGGAGCUAGGGUUAGGGUUGGGCUUGGAGCUAGGAUUUUUCUGAGUGCACUGAACCAACUCCCGAGUCUCUAGGACAUUCCUAAAAAAAAUUGAUUUUUUCCCAUAGGAAUGCAUGGGUUAGGGUUAUGGUUAGGGUUAGGGUUGGAGCUAGGGUUAGGGUUAGGGUUAGGGUUGGAGUUAGGGUUAGUGUUGGAGCUAGGGUUAGGGUUGGGCUUGGAGCUAGGAUUUUUCUGAGUGCACUGAACCAACUCCCGAGUCUCUAGGACAUUCCUAAAAAAUUUGAUUUUUUCCCAUAGGAAUGCAUGGGUUAGGGUUAUGGUUAGGGUUAGGGUUGGAGCUAGGGUUAGGGUUAGGGUUAGGGUUGGAGUUAGAGUUAGUGUUGGAGCUAGGGUUAGGGUUGGGCUUGGAGCUAGGAUUUUUCUGAGUGCACUGAACCAACUCCCGAGUCUCUAGGACAUUCCUAAAAAAAUUUGAUUUUUUCCCAUAGGAAUGCAUGGGUUAGGGUUAUGGUUAGGGUUAGGGUUGGAGCUAGGGUUAGGGUUAGGGUUAGGGUUGGAGUUAGGGUUAGUGUUGGAGCUAGGGUUAGGGUUGGGCUUGGAGCUAGGAUUUUUCUGAGUGCACUGAACCAACUCCCGAGUCUCUAGGACAUUCCUAAAAAAAUUUGAUUUUUUCCCAUAGGAAUGCAUGGGUUAGGGUUAUGGUUAGGGUUAGGGUUGGAGCUAGGGUUAGGGUUAGGGUUAGGGUUGGAGUUAGGGUUAGUGUUGGAGCUAGGGUUAGGGUUGGGCUUGGAGCUAGGAUUUUUCUGAGUGCACUGAACCAACUCCCGAGUCUCUAGGACAUUCCUAAAAAAAUUUGAGUUUUUCCCAUAGGAAUGCAUGGGUUAGGGUUAGGGUUAGGGUUGGAGCUAGGGUUAGGGUUAGGGUUGCAGUUAGGGUUAGUGUUGGAGCUAGGGUUAGGGUUGGGCUUGGAGCUAGGAUUUUUCUGAGUGCACUGAACCAACUCCCGAGUCUCUAGGACAUUCCUAAAAAAAUUUGAUUUUUUCCCAUAGGAAUGCAUGGGUUAGGGUUAUGGUUAGGGUUAGGGUUGGAGCUAGGGUUAGGGUUAGGGUUAGGGUUGGAGUUAGAGUUAGUGUUGGAGCUAGGGUUAGGGUUGGGCUUGGAGCUAGGAUUUUUCUGAGUGCACUGAACCAACUCCCGAGUCUCUAGGACAUUCCUAAAAAAAUUUGAUUUUUUCCCAUAGGAAUGCAUGGGUUAGGGUUAUGGUUAGGGUUAGGGUUGGAGCUAGGGUUAGGGUUAGGGUUAGGGUUGGAGUUAGGGUUAGUGUUGGAGCUAGGGUUAGGGUUGGGCUUGGAGCUAGGAUUUUUCUGAGUGCACUGAACCAACUCCCGAGUCUCUAGGACGUUCCUAAAAAAAUUUGAUUUUUUCCCAUAGGAAUGCAUGGGUUAGGGUUAGGGUUAGGGUUGGAGCUAGGGUUAGGGUUAGGGUUAGGGUUGGAGUUAGGGUUAGUGUUGGAGCUAGGGUUAGGGUUGGGCUUGGAGCUAGGAUUUUUCUGAGUGCACUGAACCAACUCCCGAGUCUCUAGGACAUUCCUAAAAAAAUUUGAGUUUUUCCCAUAGGAAUGCAUGGGUUAGGGUUAGGGUUAGGGUUGGAGCUAGGGUUAGGGUUAGGGUUAGGGUUGGAGUUAGGGUUAGUGUUGGAGCUAGGGUUAGGGUUGGGCUUGGAGCUAGGAUUUUUCUGAGUGCACUGAACCAACUCCCGAGUCUCUAGGACAUUCCUAAAAAAAUUUGAUUUUUUUCCCAUAGGAAUGCAUGGGUUAGGGUUAUGGUUAGGGUUAGGGUUGGAGCUAGGGUUAGGGUUAGGGUUAGGGUUGGAGUUAGGGUUAGUGUUGGAGCUAGGGUUAGGGUUGGGCUUGGAGCUAGGAUUUUUCUGAGUGCACUGAACCAACUCCCGAGUCUCUAGGACAUUCCUAAAAAAAUUUGAUUUUUUCCCAUAGGAAUGCAUGGGUUAGGGUUAGGGUUAGGGUUGGAGCUAGGGUUAGGGUUAGGGUUAGGGUUGGAGUUAGGGUUAGUGUUGGAGCUAGGGUUAGGGUUGGGCUUGGAGCUAGGAUUUUUCUGAGUGCACUGAACCAACUCCCGAGUCUCUAGGACAUUCCUAAAAAAAUUUGAUUUUUUCCCAUAGGAAUGCAUGGGUUAGGGUUAUGGUUAGGGUUAGGGUUGGAGCUAGGGUUAGGGUUAGGGUUAGGGUUGGAGUUAGGGUUAGUGUUGGAGCUAGGGUUAGGGUUGGGCUUGGAGCUAGGAUUUUUCUGAGUGCACUGAACCAACUCCCGAGUCUCUAGGACAUUCCUAAAAAAAUUUGAUUUUUUCCCAUAGGAAUGCAUGGGUUAGGGUUAUGGUUAGGGUUAGGGUUGGAGCUAGGGUUAGGGUUAGGGUUAGGGUUGGAGUUAGGGUUAGUGUUGGAGCUAGGGUUAGGGUUGGGCUUGGAGCUAGGAUUUUUCUGAGUGCACUGAACCAACUCCCGAGUCUCUAGGACGUUCCUAAAAAAAUUUGAUUUUUUCCCAUAGGAAUGCAUGGGUUAGGGUUAGGGUUAGGGUUGGAGCUAGGGUUAGGGUUAGGGUUAGGGUUGGAGUUAGGGUUAGUGUUGGAGCUAGGGUUAGGGUUGGGCUUGGAGCUAGGAUUUUUCUGAGUGCACUGAACCAACUCCCGAGUCUCUAGGACAUUCCUAAAAAAAUUUGAUUUUUUCCCAUAGGAAUGCAUGGGUUAGGGUUAGGGUUAGGGUUGGAGCUAGGGUUAGGGUUAGGGUUGCAGUUAGGGUUAGUGUUGGAGCUAGGGUUAGGGUUGGGCUUGGAGCUAGGAUUUUUCUGAGUGCACUGAACCAACUCCCGAGUCUCUAGGACAUUCCUAAAAAAAUUUGAUUUUUUCCCAUAGGAAUGCAUGGGUUAGGGUUAUGGUUAGGGUUAGGGUUGGAGCUAGGGUUAGGGUUAGGGUUAGGGUUGGAGUUAGGGUUAGUGUUGGAGCUAGGGUUAGGGUUGGGCUUGGAGCUAGGAUUUUUCUGAGUGCACUGAACCAACUCCCGAGUCUCUAGGACAUUCCUAAAAAAAUUUGAUUUUUUCCCAUAGGAAUGCAUGGGUUAGGGUUAUGGUUAGGGUUAGGGUUGGAGCUAGGGUUAGGGUUAGGGUUAGGGUUGGAGUUAGGGUUAGUGUUGGAGCUAGGGUUAGGGUUGGGCUUGGAGCUAGGAUUUUUCUGAGUGCACUGAACCAACUCCCGAGUCUCUAGGACGUUCCUAAAAAAAUUUGAUUUUUUCCCAUAGGAAUGCAUGGGUUAGGGUUAGGGUUAGGGUUGGAGCUAGGGUUAGGGUUAGGGUUAGGGUUGGAGUUAGGGUUAGUGUUGGAGCUAGGGUUAGGGUUGGGCUUGGAGCUAGGAUUUUUCUGAGUGCACUGAACCAACUCCCGAGUCUCUAGGACAUUCCUAAAAAAAUUUGAGUUUUUCCCAUAGGAAUGCAUGGGUUAGGGUUAGGGUUAGGGUUGGAGCUAGGGUUAGGGUUAGGGUUAGGGUUGGAGUUAGGGUUAGUGUUGGAGCUAGGGUUAGGGUUGGGCUUGGAGCUAGGAUUUUUCUGAGUGCACUGAACCAACUCCCGAGUCUCUAGGACAUUCCUAAAAAAAUUUGAUUUUUUCCCAUAGGAAUGCAUGGGUUAGGGUUAUGGUUAGGGUUAGGGUUGGAGCUAGGGUUAGGGUUAGGGUUAGGGUUGGAGUUAGGGUUAGUGUUGGAGCUAGGGUUAGGGUUGGGCUUGGAGCUAGGAUUUUUCUGAGUGCACUGAACCAACUCCCGAGUCUCUAGGACAUUCCUAAAAAAAAUUGAUUUUUUCCCAUAGGAAUGCAUGGGUUAGGGUUAUGGUUAGGGUUAGGGUUGGAGCUAGGGUUAGGGUUAGGGUUAGGGUUGGAGUUAGGGUUAGUGUUGGAGCUAGGGUUAGGGUUGGGCUUGGAGCUAGGAUUUUUCUGAGUGCACUGAACCAACUCCCGAGUCUCUAGGACAUUCCUAAAAAAAUUUGAUUUUUUCCCAUAGGAAUGCAUGGGUUAGGGUUAUGGUUAGGGUUAGGGUUGGAGCUAGGGUUAGGGUUAGGGUUAGGGUUGGAGUUAGAGUUAGUGUUGGAGCUAGGGUUAGGGUUGGGCUUGGAGCUAGGAUUUUUCUGAGUGCACUGAACCAACUCCCGAGUCUCUAGGACAUUCCUAAAAAAAUUUGAUUUUUUCCCAUAGGAAUGCAUGGGUUAGGGUUAUGGUUAGGGUUAGGGUUGGAGCUAGGGUUAGGGUUAGGGUUAGGGUUGGAGUUAGGGUUAGUGUUGGAGCUAGGGUUAGGGUUGGGCUUGGAGCUAGGAUUUUUCUGAGUGCACUGAACCAACUCCCGAGUCUCUAGGACAUUCCUAAAAAAAUUUGAUUUUUUCCCAUAGGAAUGCAUGGGUUAGGGUUAUGGUUAGGGUUAGGGUUGGAGCUAGGGUUAGGGUUAGGGUUAGGGUUGGAGUUAGGGUUAGUGUUGGAGCUAGGGUUAGGGUUGGGCUUGGAGCUAGGAUUUUUCUGAGUGCACUGAACCAACUCCCGAGUCUCUAGGACAUUCCUAAAAAAAUUUGAGUUUUUCCCAUAGGAAUGCAUGGGUUAGGGUUAGGGUUAGGGUUGGAGCUAGGGUUAGGGUUAGGGUUGCAGUUAGGGUUAGUGUUGGAGCUAGGGUUAGGGUUGGGCUUGGAGCUAGGAUUUUUCUGAGUGCACUGAACCAACUCCCGAGUCUCUAGGACAUUCCUAAAAAAAUUUGAUUUUUUCCCAUAGGAAUGCAUGGGUUAGGGUUAUGGUUAGGGUUAGGGUUGGAGCUAGGGUUAGGGUUAGGGUUAGGGUUGGAGUUAGAGUUAGUGUUGGAGCUAGGGUUAGGGUUGGGCUUGGAGCUAGGAUUUUUCUGAGUGCACUGAACCAACUCCCGAGUCUCUAGGACAUUCCUAAAAAAAUUUGAUUUUUUCCCAUAGGAAUGCAUGGGUUAGGGUUAUGGUUAGGGUUAGGGUUGGAGCUAGGGUUAGGGUUAGGGUUAGGGUUGGAGUUAGGGUUAGUGUUGGAGCUAGGGUUAGGGUUGGGCUUGGAGCUAGGAUUUUUCUGAGUGCACUGAACCAACUCCCGAGUCUCUAGGACGUUCCUAAAAAAAUUUGAUUUUUUCCCAUAGGAAUGCAUGGGUUAGGGUUAGGGUUAGGGUUGGAGCUAGGGUUAGGGUUAGGGUUAGGGUUGGAGUUAGGGUUAGUGUUGGAGCUAGGGUUAGGGUUGGGCUUGGAGCUAGGAUUUUUCUGAGUGCACUGAACCAACUCCCGAGUCUCUAGGACAUUCCUAAAAAAAUUUGAGUUUUUCCCAUAGGAAUGCAUGGGUUAGGGUUAGGGUUAGGGUUGGAGCUAGGGUUAGGGUUAGGGUUAGGGUUGGAGUUAGGGUUAGUGUUGGAGCUAGGGUUAGGGUUGGGCUUGGAGCUAGGAUUUUUCUGAGUGCACUGAACCAACUCCCGAGUCUCUAGGACAUUCCUAAAAAAAUUUGAUUUUUUCCCAUAGGAAUGCAUGGGUUAGGGUUAUGGUUAGGGUUAGGGUUGGAGCUAGGGUUAGGGUUAGGGUUAGGGUUGGAGUUAGGGUUAGUGUUGGAGCUAGGGUUAGGGUUGGGCUUGGAGCUAGGAUUUUUCUGAGUGCACUGAACCAACUCCCGAGUCUCUAGGACAUUCCUAAAAAAAUUUGAUUUUUUCCCAUAGGAAUGCAUGGGUUAGGGUUAGGGUUAGGGUUGGAGCUAGGGUUAGGGUUAGGGUUAGGGUUGGAGUUAGGGUUAGUGUUGGAGCUAGGGUUAGGGUUGGGCUUGGAGCUAGGAUUUUUCUGAGUGCACUGAACCAACUCCCGAGUCUCUAGGACAUUCCUAAAAAAAUUUGAUUUUUUCCCAUAGGAAUGCAUGGGUUAGGGUUAUGGUUAGGGUUAGGGUUGGAGCUAGGGUUAGGGUUAGGGUUAGGGUUGGAGUUAGGGUUAGUGUUGGAGCUAGGGUUAGGGUUGGGCUUGGAGCUAGGAUUUUUCUGAGUGCACUGAACCAACUCCCGAGUCUCUAGGACGUUCCUAAAAAAAUUUGAUUUUUUCCCAUAGGAAUGCAUGGGUUAGGGUUAUGGUUAGGGUUAGGGUUGGAGCUAGGGUUAGGGUUAGGGUUAGGGUUGGAGUUAGGGUUAGUGUUGGAGCUAGGGUUAGGGUUGGGCUUGGAGCUAGGAUUUUUCUGAGUGCACUGAACCAACUCCCGAGUCUCUAGGACAUUCCUAAAAAAAUUUGAUUUUUUCCCAUAGGAAUGCAUGGGUUAGGGUUAGGGUUAGGGUUGGAGCUAGGGUUAGGGUUAGGGUUAGGGUUGGAGUUAGGGUUAGUGUUGGAGCUAGGGUUAGGGUUGGGCUUGGAGCUAGGAUUUUUNNNNNNNNNNNNNNNNNNNNNNNNNNNNNNNNNNNNNNNNNNNNNNNNNNNNNNNNNNNNNNNNNNNNNNNNNNNNNNNNNNNNNNNNNNNNNNNNNNNNNNNNNNNNNNNNNNNNNNNNNNNNNNNNNNNNNNNNNNNNNNNNNNNNNNNNNNNNNNNNNNNNNNNNNNNNNNNNNNNNNNNNNNNNNNNNNNNNNNNNAACGUCCAAGAGACUCGGGAGUUGGUUCAUUGCACUCCAGAAUUUAAUCCCUAGCUCCAAGCCCCAUGCACCCCUAUGGAAAAAUCAAAUUUUUUAGGAAUGUCCUGUAGACUCCAACACUCAGAAAAACUCUAGCUCCAAGCUCCAACCCUACUUAGCUCCAACACUAACGAACCUUAACCCUAGUCCUAGAGACUCGGGAGUUGGUUCAGUGCACUCAGAAAAAUCCUAGCUCCAAGCCCAACCCUAACAGAGUCCUAGCUCCAACACUAACCCUAACUCCAACCCUAACCCUAACCCUAACCCUAGCUCCAACCCUAACCCUAACCAUAACCCUAACCCAUGCAUUCCUAUGGGAAAAAAAAUCAAAUUUUUUUAGGAAUGUCCUAGAGACUCGGGAGUUGGUUCAGUGCACCCAGAAAAAUCCUAGCUCCAAGCCCAACCCUAACCCUAGCUCCAACACUAACCCUAACUCCAACCCUAACCCUAACCCUAACCCUAGCUCCAACCCUAACCCUAACCCUAACCCAUGCAUUCCUAUGGGAAAAAAAUCAAAUUUUUUUUAGGAAUGUCCCUAGAGACUCGGGAGUUGGUUCAGUGCACUCAGAAAAAAAUCCUAGCUCCAAGCCCAACCCUAACCCUAGCUCCAACACUAACCCUAACUCCAACCCUAACCCUAACCCUAACCCUAGCUCCAACCCUAACCCUAACCCUAACCCAUGCAUUCCUAUGGGAAAAAUCAAAUUUUUUUAGGAACGUCCUAGAGACUCGGGAGUUGGUUCAGUGCACUCAGAAAAAUCCUAGCUCCAAGCCCAACCCUAACCCUAGCUCCAACACUAACCCUAACUCCAACCCUAACCCUAACCCUAACCCUCCUAGCUCCAACCCUAACCCUAACCAUAACCCUAACCCAUGCAUUCCUAUGGGAAAAAAUCAAAUUUUUUUAGGAAUGUCCUAGAGACUCGGGAGUUGGUUCAGUGCACUCAGAAAAAUCCUAGCUCCAAGCCCAACCCUAACCCUAGCUCCAACACUAACCCUAACUCCAACCCUAACCCUAACCCUAACCCUGCAAGCUCUUGGGCAACCCUAACCCUAACCCUAACCCAUGCAUUCCUAUGGGAAAAAAAUCAAAUUUUUUUAGGAACGUCCUAGAGACUCCUCAUGGCCUGCAACUCAGACUCCCUUAGCAAAACCCUAUCCUAUCCAAAUUUUUUGCCCUAGACGUCCUAGAGACCUAAGCUCAUCCAACCUAACUACCCUAACCCUAACUCACUAACCCUAACUCCUCCAACCCUAACCCACCUAGCCUCCAACCCUGGCCCUAACCCCAACCCAUGCAUUCCUAUGGGAAAAUCAAAUUUUUUUUAGGAACGUGUCCUAGAGACUCGGAGUUGGUUCAUUGCACUCAGAAAAAUCCUAGCUCCAAGCCCAACCCUAGACCCUAGCUCCAACACCUAACUCCUAACUCCAACCCUGUUCUCUAACCCUAACCUCUACCCAAAAAACUUAACUUCUAACCCUAACCCUAUGCCCAAUACUAACUCCUAUCCCCAAAUUUUAACCCUGGAAGACUAGAGACCUUGGCCUGUCUCUCUAACUCCACGAAUCAAAUUUUUUCCAGAAUUCCGCUAGCUCCAACACCCUACCCAACAAUUCCAACCCUAAUUCUCAACUCCCAACCAACUCCUAACCCCAACCCUAAAUUUAUUCCUAGGGGACCCCAACCCAUUUAAAUCAAAUUUUUUUAAUGUCCUAGAGACUGUCCAUAGAGACUCAGAAAAGUUGUUCCUAGCCCACUCCAACCCUAACCUCAACUGUCCUAAUCCCCACCCUAACCCUAACCCUAACCCCAACCUUGCACCCUAUGCCACAAAUUUAAAAAAAUCAAAUUUUUUAGGAAUGUCCUAGAGACUCGGGAGCUGGUUCACCCUAAGCCCUCAGAAAAAUCCUAAGCUCCCUAGGGCAACAAAUUUUUUAGGAAUAACCCUAACUCCAACCCUAACCCUAACCCUAACCCUAGCUCCAACCCUAACCCUAACCCCUAACCAUGCAUUCCUAUGGGAAAAAAAUCAAAUUUUUUUUUAGAAUGUCCUAGACUCGGUUCUAGACUCAGCUACCAAGCCCAACCCUAACUAGGCUCCAACACUAACUCCUAACUCCAACCCUAACCUACCCUAACCCUAACCCUAACCCCGCUUCCAAAAAUUCAUAAAAAUAAUUUCCUUUUUUUCCCAUGGAAUGCAAUGGGAUUAGGUUAUGGUUAUUAGAAACCUAGAGACUGGAGUUGGAGUUCAGUUACGGACCCAAGCCCAACCCUAACUCCUAGCUCCAACACUAACCCUAACUCCACCCUAACCCUAACCCUACUCCACCCUAACCAUAAUAACCCAUGCAUUCCCAUGCAAAUCAUUUUUUAGGAAUGUCCUAGAGACUCGGGAGUUAGGGUUCAGUGUUGGAGCUAGAAAAAAUCCUGGGCUCCAGGCCCCUAGGAUUUUUCUAGCUCCAACCCUAACCAACUCCCUAACCUCUAGGACAUUCCUAAAAAAAUUUGAGUUUUUCCCAUAGGAAUGCAUGGGUUAGGGUUAGGGUUAGGGUUGGAGCUAGGGUUAGGGUUAGGGUUAGGGUUGGAGUUAGGGUUAGUGUUGGAGCUAGGGUUAGGGUUGGGCUUGGAGCUAGGAUUUUUCUGAGUGCACUGAACCAACUCCCGAGUCUCUAGGACAUUCCUAAAAAAAUUUGAUUUUUCCCAUAGGAAUGCAUGGGUUAGGGUUAUGGUUAGGGUUAGGGUUGGAGCUAGGGUUAGGGUUAGGGUUAGGGUUGGAGUUAGGGUUAGUGUUGGAGCUAGGGUUAGGGUUGGGCUUGGAGCUAGGAUUUUUCUGAGUGCACUGAACCAACUCCCGAGUCUCUAGGACAUUCCUAAAAAAAUUUGAUUUUUUCCCAUAGGAAUGCAUGGGUUAGGGUUAUGGUUAGGGUUAGGGUUGGAGCUAGGGUUAGGGUUAGGGUUAGGGUUGGAGUUAGGGUUAGUGUUGGAGCUAGGGUUAGGGUUGGGCUUGGAGCUAGGAUUUUUCUGAGUGCACUGAACCAACUCCCGAGUCUCUAGGACAUUCCUAAAAAAAUUUGAUUUUUUCCCAUAGGAAUGCAUGGGUUAGGGUUAUGGUUAGGGUUAGGGUUGGAGCUAGGGUUAGGGUUAGGGUUAGGGUUGGAGUUAGGGUUAGUGUUGGAGCUAGGGUUAGGGUUGGGCUUGGAGCUAGGAUUUUUCUGAGUGCACUGAACCAACUCCCGAGUCUCUAGGACAUUCCUAAAAAAAUUUGAUUUUUUCCCAUAGGAAUGCAUGGGUUAGGGUUAUGGUUAGGGUUAGGGUUGGAGCUAGGGUUAGGGUUAGGGUUAGGGUUGGAGUUAGGGUUAGUGUUGGAGCUAGGGUUAGGGUUGGGCUUGGAGCUAGGAUUUUUCUGAGUGCACUGAACCAACUCCCGAGUCUCUAGGACGUUCCUAAAAAAAUUUGAUUUUUUCCCAUAGGAAUGCAUGGGUUAGGGUUAGGGUUAGGGUUGGAGCUAGGGUUAGGGUUAGGGUUAGGGUUGGAGUUAGGGUUAGUGUUGGAGCUCAGGGUUGGGCUUGGAGCUAGGAUUUUUCUGAGUGCACUGAACCAACUCCCGAGUCUCUAGGACAUUCCUAAAAAAUUUGAUUUUUUCCCAUAGGAAUGCAUGGGUUAGGGUUAGGGUUAGGGUUGGAGCUAGGGUUAGGGUUAGGGUUAGGGUUGGAGUUAGGGUUAGUGUUGGAGCUAGGGUUAGGGUUGGGCUUGGAGCUAGGAUUUUUCUGAGUGCACUGAACCAACUCCCGAGUCUCUAGGACAUUCCUAAAAAAAUUUGAUUUUUUCCCAUAGGAAUGCAUGGGUUAGGGUUAUGGUUAGGGUUAGGGUUGGAGCUAGGGUUAGGGUUAGGGUUAGGGUUGGAGUUAGGGUUAGUGUUGGAGCUAGGGUUAGGGUUGGGCUUGGAGCUAGGAUUUUUCUGAGUGCACUGAACCAACUCCCGAGUCUCUAGGACAUUCCUAAAAAAUUUGAUUUUUUCCCAUAGGAAUGCAUGGGUUAGGGUUAUGGUUAGGGUUAGGGUUGGAGCUAGGGUUAGGGUUAGGGUUAGGGUUGGAGUUAGGGUUAGUGUUGGAGCUAGGGUUAGGGUUGGGCUUGGAGCUAGGAUUUUUCUGAGUGCACUGAACCAACUCCCGAGUCUCUAGGACAUUCCUAAAAAAAUUUGAUUUUUUCCCAUAGGAAUGCAUGGGUUAGGUUAUGGUUAGGGUUAGGGUUGGAGCUAGGGUUAGGGUUAGGGUUAGGGUUGGAGUUAGGGUUAGUGUUGGAGCUAGGGUUAGGGUUGGGCUUGGAGCUAGGAUUUUUCUGAGUGCACUGAACCAACUCCCGAGUCUCUAGGACAUUCCUAAAAAAAUUUGAUUUUUUCCCAUAGGAAUGCAUGGGUUAGGGUUAUGGUUAGGGUUAGGGUUGGAGCUAGGGUUAGGGUUAGGGUUAGGGUUGGAGUUAGGGUUAGUGUUGGAGCUAGGGUUAGGGUUGGGCUUGGAGCUAGGAUUUUUCUGAGUGCACUGAACCAACUCCCGAGUCUCUAGGACAUUCCUAAAAAAAUUUGAUUUUUUCCCAUAGGAAUGCAUGGGUUAGGGUUAGGGUUAGGGUUGGAGCUAGGGUUAGGGUUAGGGUUAGGGUUGGAGUUAGGGUUAGUGUUGGAGCUAGGGUUAGGGUUGGGCUUGGAGCUAGGAUUUUUCUGAGUGCACUGAACCAACUCCCGAGUCUCUAGGACAUUCCUAAAAAAAUUUGAUUUUUUCCCAUAGGAAUGCAUGGGUUAGGGUUAGGGUUAGGAGCUAGGGUUAGGGUUAGGGUUAGGGUUGGAGUUAGGGUUAGUGUUGGAGCUAGGGUUAGGGUUGGGCUUGGAGCUAGGAUUUUUCUGAGUGCACUGAACCAACUCCCGAGUCUCUAGGACAUUCCUAAAAAAUUUGAUUUUUUCCCAUAGGAAUGCAUGGGUUAGGGUUAUGGUUAGGGUUAGGGUUGGAGCUAGGGUUAGGGUUAGGGUUAGGGUUGGAGUUAGGGUUAGUGUUGGAGCUAGGGUUAGGGUUGGGCUUGGAGCUAGGAUUUUUCUGAGUGCACUGAACCAACUCCCGAGUCUCUAGGACAUUCCUAAAAAAAUUUGAUUUUUUCCCAUAGGAAUGCAUGGGUUAGGGUUAUGGUUAGGGUUAGGGUUGGAGCUAGGGUUAGGGUUAGGGUUAGGGUUGGAGUUAGGGUUAGUGUUGGAGCUAGGGUUAGGGUUGGGCUUGGAGCUAGGAUUUUUCUGAGUGCACUGAACCAACUCCCGAGUCUCUAGGACGUUCCUAAAAAAAUUUGAUUUUUUCCCAUAGGAAUGCAUGGGUUAGGGUUAGGGUUAGGGUUGGAGCUAGGGUUAGGGUUAGGGUUAGGGUUGGAGUUAGGGUUAGUGUUGGAGCUAGGGUUAGGGUUGGGCUUGGAGCUAGGAUUUUUCUGAGUGCACUGAACCAACUCCCGAGUCUCUAGGACAUUCCUAAAAAAAUUUGAUUUUUUCCCAUAGGAAUGCAUGGUUAGGGUUAUGGUUAGGGUUAGGGUUGGAGCUAGGGUUAGGGUUAGGGUUAGGGUUGGAGUUAGGGUUAGUGUUGGAGCUAGGGUUAGGGUUGGGCUUGGAGCUAGGAUUUUUCUGAGUGCACUGAACCAACUCCCGAGUCUCUAGGACAUUCCUAAAAAAAUUUGAUUUUUUCCCAUAGGAAUGCAUGGGUUAGGGUUAGGGUUAGGGUUGGAGCUAGGGUUAGGGUUAGGGUUAGGGUUGGAGUUAGGGUUAGUGUUGGAGCUAGGGUUAGGGUUGGGCUUGGAGCUAGGAUUUUUCUGAGUGCACUGAACCAACUCCCGAGUCUCUAGGACAUUCCUAAAAAAAUUUGAUUUUUUCCCAUAGGAAUGCAUGGGUUAGGGUUAUGGUUAGGGUUAGGGUUGGAGCUAGGGUUAGGGUUAGGGUUAGGGUUGGAGUUAGGGUUAGUGUUGGAGCUAGGGUUAGGGUUGGGCUUGGAGCUAGGAUUUUUCUGAGUGCACUGAACCAACUCCCGAGUCUCUAGGACAUUCCUAAAAAAAUUUGAUUAUUUCCCAUAGGAAUGCAUGGGUUAGGGUUAGGGUUAGGGUUGGAGCUAGGGUUAGGGUUAGGGUUAGGGUUGGAGUUAGGGUUAGUGUUGGAGCUAGGGUUAGGGUUGGGCUUGGAGCUAGGAUUUUUCUGAGUGCACUGAACCAACUCCCGAGUCUCUAGGAUGUUCCUAAAAAAAUUUGAUUUUUUCCCAUAGGAAUGCAUGGGUUAGGGUUAUGGUUAGGGUUAGGGUUGGAGCUAGGGUUAGGGUUAGGGUUGGAGUUAGGGUUAGUGUUGGAGCUAGGGUUAGGGUUGGGCUUGGAGCUAGGAUUUUUCUGAGUGCAAUGAACCAACUCCCGAGUCUCUAGGACGUUCCUAAAAAAUUUGAUUUUUUCCCAUAGGAAUGCAUGGGUUAGGGUUAGGGUUAGGGUUGGAGCUUGGGUUAGGGUUAGGGUUAGGGUUGGAGUUAGGGUUAGUGUUGGAGCUAGGGUUAGGGUUGGGCUUGGAGCUAGGAUUUUUCUGAGUGCACUGAACCAACUCCCGAGUCUCUAGGACGUUCCUAAAAAAAUUUGAUUUUUUCCCAUAGGAAUGCAUGGGUUAGGGUUAGGGUUAGGGUUGGAGCUAGGGUUAGGGUUAGGGUUAGGGUUGGAGUUAGGGUUAGUGUUGGAGCUAGGGUUAGGGUUGGGCUUGGAGCUAGGAUUUUUCUGAGUGCACUGAACCAACUCCCGAGUCUCUAGGACAUUCCUAAAAAAAUUUGAUUUUUUCCCAUAGGAAUGCAUGGGUUAGGGUUAGGGUUAGGGUUGGAGCUAGGGUUAGGGUUAGGGUUAGGGUUGGAGUUAGGGUUAGUGUUGGAGCUAGGGUUAGGGUUGGGCUUGGAGCUAGGAUUUUUCUGAGUGCACUGAACCAACUCCCGAGUCUCUAGGACAUUCCUAAAAAAAUUUGAUUUUUUCCCAUAGGAAUGCAUGGGUUAGGGUUAUGGUUAGGGUUAGGGUUGGAGCUAGGGUUAGGGUUAGGGUUAGGGUUAGGGUUAGGGUUAGUUAGGUUAGUGUUGGAGCUAGGGUUAGGGUUGGGCUUGGAGCUAGGAUUUUUCUGAGUGCACUGAACCAACUCCCGAGUCUCUAGGACAUUCCUAAAAAAAUUUGAUUUUUUCCCAUAGGAAUGCAUGGGUUAGGGUUAGGGUUAGGGUUGGAGCUAGGGUUAGGGUUAGGGUUAGGGUUGGAGUUAGGGUUAGUGUUGGAGCUAGGGUUAGGGUUGGGCUUGGAGCUAGGAUUUUUCUGAGUGCACUGAACCAACUCCCGAGUCUCUAGGACGUUCCUAAAAAAAUUUGAUUUUUUCCCAUAGGAAUGCAUGGGUUAGGGUUAUGGUUAGGGUUAGGGUUGGAGCUAGGGUUAGGGUUAGGGUUAGGGUUGGAGUUAGGGUUAGUGUUGGAGCUAGGGUUAGGGUUGGGCUUGGAGCUAGGAUUUUUCUGAGUGCACUGAACCAACUCCCGAGUCUCUAGGACGUUCCUAAAAAAAUUUGAUUUUUUCCCAUAGGAAUGCAUGGGUUAGGGUUAGGGUUAGGGUUGGAGCUAGGGUUAGGGUUAGGGUUAGGGUUGGAGUUAGGGUUAGUGUUGGAGCUAGGGUUAGGGUUGGGCUUGGAGCUAGGAUUUUUCUGAGUGCACUGAACCAACUCCCGAGUCUCUAGGACGUUCCUAAAAAAAUUUGAUUUUUUCCCAUAGGAAUGCAUGGGUUAGGGUUAGGGUUAGGGUUGGAGCUAGGGUUAGGGUUAGGGUUAGGGUUGGAGUUAGGGUUAGUGUUGGAGCUAGGGUUAGGGUUGGGCUUGGAGCUAGGAUUUUUCUGAGUGCACUGAACCAACUCCCGAGUCUCUAGGACGUUCCUAAAAAAAUUUGAUUUUUUCCCAUAGGAAUGCAUGGGUUAGGGUUAGGGUUAGGGUUGGAGCUAGGGUUAGGGUUAGGGUUAGGGUUGGAGUUAGGGUUAGUGUUGGAGCUAGGGUUAGGGUUGGGCUUGGAGCUAGGAUUUUUCUGAGUGCACUGAACCAACUCCCGAGUCUCUAGGACAUUCCUAAAAAAAUUUGAUUUUUUCCCAUAGGAAUGCAUGGUUUAGGGUUAUGGUUAGGGUUAGGGUUGGAGCUAGGGUUAGGGUUAGGGUUAGGGUUGGAGUUAGGGUUAGUGUUGGAGCUAGGGUUAGGGUUGGGCUUGGAGCUAGGAUUUUUCUGAGUGCAAUGAACCAACUCCCGAGUCUCUAGGACAUUCCUAAAAAAAUUUGAUUUUUUCCCAUAGGAAUGCAUGGGUUAGGGUUAGGGUUAGGGUUGGAGCUAGGGUUAGGGUUAGGGUUAGGGUUGGAGUUAGGGUUAGUGUUGGAGCUAGGGUUAGGGUUGGGCUUGGAGCUAGGAUUUUUCUGAGUGCACUGAACCAACUCCCGAGUCUCUAGGACAUUCCUAAAAAAAUUUGAUUUUUUCCCAUAGGAAUGCAUGGGUUAGGGUUAUGGUUAGGGUUAGGGUUGGAGCUAGGGUUAGGGUUAGGGUUAGGGUUGGAGUUAGGGUUAGUGUUGGAGCUAGGGUUAGGGUUGGGCUUGGAGCUAGGAUUUUUCUGAGUGCACUGAACCAACUCCCGAGUCUCUAGGACAUUCCUAAAAAAUUUGAUUUUUUCCCAUAGGAAUGCAUGGGUUAGGGUUAGGGUUAGGGAUUGGAGCUAGGGUUAGGGUUGGGCUUGGAGCUAGGAUUUUUCUGAGUGCACUGAACCAACUCCCGAGUCUCUAGGACGUUCCUAAAAAAAUUUGAUUUUUUCCCAUAGGAAUGCAUGGGUUAGGGUUAUGGUUAGGGUUAGGGUUGGAGCUAGGGUUAGGGUUAGGGUUAGGGUUGGAGUUAGGGUUAGUGUUGGAGCUAGGGUUAGGGUUGGGCUUGGAGCUAGGAUUUUUCUGAGUGCAAUGAACCAACUCCCGAGUCUCUAGGACGUUCCUAAAAAAAUUUGAUUUUUUCCCAUAGGAAUGCAUGGGUUAGGGUUAGGGUUAGGGUUGGAGCUAGGGUUAGGGUUAGGGUUAGGGUUGGAGUUAGGGUUAGUGUUGGAGCUAGGGUUAGGGUUGGGCUUGGAGCUAGGAUUUUUCUGAGUGCACUGAACCAACUCCCGAGUCUCUAGGACAUUCCUAAAAAAUUUGAUUUUUUCCCAUAGGAAUGCAUGGUUAGGGUUAUGGUUAGGGUUAGGGUUGGAGCUAGGGUUAGGGUUAGGGUUAGGGUUGGAGUUAGGGUUAGUGUUGGAGCUAAGGGUUAGGGUUGGGCUUGGAGCUAGGAUUUUUCUGAGUGCAAUGAACCAACUCCCGAGUCUCUAGGACGUUCCCUAAAAAAAUUUGAUUUUUUCCCAUAGGAAUGCAUGGGUUAGGGUUAGGGUUAGGGUUGGAGCUAGGGUUAGGGUUAGGGUUAGGGUUGGAGUUAGGGUUAGUGUUGGAGCUAGGGUUAGGGUUGGGCUUGGAGCUAGGAUUUUUCUGAGUGCACUGAACCAACUCCCGAGUCUCUAGGACAUUCCUAAAAAAAUUUGAUUUUUUCCCAUAGGAAUGCAUGGGUUAGGGUUAUGGUUAGGGUUAGGGUUGGAGCUAGGGUUAGGGUUAGGGUUAGGGUUGGAGUUAGGGUUAGUGUUGGAGCUAGGGUUAGGGUUGGGCUUGGAGCUAGGAUUUUUCUGAGUGCACUGAACCAACUCCCGAGUCUCUAGGACAUUCCUAAAAAAAUUUGAUUUUUUCCCAUAGGAAUGCAUGGGUUAGGGUUAUGGUUAGGGUUAGGGUUGGAGCUAGGGUUAGGGUUAGGGUUAGGGUUGGAGUUAGGGUUAGUGUUGGAGCUAGGGUUAGGGUUGGGCUUGGAGCUAGGAUUUUUCUGAGUGCACUGAACCAACUCCCGAGUCUCUAGGACGUUCCUAAAAAAAUUUGAUUUUUUCCCAUAGGAAUGCAUGGGUUAGGGUUAGGGUUAGGGUUGGAGCUAGGGUUAGGGUAGGGUUAGGGUUAGGGUUGGAGUUAGGGUUAGUGUUGGAGCUAGGGUUAGGGUUGGGCUUGGAGCUAGGAUUUUUCUGAGUGCACUGAACCAACUCCCGAGUCUCUAGGACAUUCCUAAAAAAAUUUGAUUUUUUCCCAUAGGAAUGCAUGGGUUAGGGUUAGGGUUAGGGUUGGAGCUAGGGUUAGGGUUAGGGUUAGGGUUGGAGUUAGGGUUAGUGUUGGAGCUAGGGUUAGGGUUGGGCUUGGAGCUAGGAUUUUUCUGAGUGCACUGAACCAACUCCCGAGUCUCUAGGACGUUCCUAAAAAAAUUUGAUUUUUUCCCAUAGGAAUGCAUGGGUUAGGGUUAGGGUUAGGGUUGGAGCUAGGGUUAGGGUUAGGGUUAGGGUUGGAGUUAGGGUUAGUGUUGGAGCUAGGGUUAGGGUUGGGCUUGGAGCUAGGAUUUUUCUGAGUGCACUGAACCAACUCCCGAGUCUCUAGGACAUUCCUAAAAAAUUUGAUUUUUUCCCAUAGGAAUGCAUGGGUUAGGGUUAGGGAUAGGGUUGGAGCUAGGGUUAGGGUUAGGGUUAGGGUUAGGGUUGGAGCUAGGGUUAGGGUUAGGGUUAGGGUUGGAGUUAGGGUUAGUGUUGGAGCUAGGGUUAGGGUUGGGCUUGGAGCUAGGAUUUUUCUGAGUGCAAUGAACCAACUCCCGAGUCUCUAGGACGUUCCUAAAAAAAUUUGAUUUUUUCCCAUAGGAAUGCAUGGGUUAGGGUUAGGGUUAGGGUUGGAGCUAGGGUUAGGGUUAGGGUUAGGGUUGGAGUUAGGGUUAGUGUUGGAGCUAGGGUUAGGGUUGGGCUUGGAGCUAGGAUUUGUCUGAGUGCACUGAACCAACUCCCGAGUCUCUAGGACAUUCCUAAAAAAAUUUGAUUUUUUCCCAUAGGAAUGCAUGGGUUAGGGUUAUGGUUAGGGUUAGGGUUGGAGCUAGGGUUAGGGUUAGGGUUAGGGUUGGAGUUAGGGUUAGUGUUGGAGCUAGGGUUAGGGUUGGGCUUGGAGCUAGGAUUUUUCUGAGUGCACUGAACCAACUCCCGAGUCUCUAGGACGUUCCUAAAAAAAUUUGAUUUUUUCCCAUAGGAAUGCAUGGGUUAGGGUUAGGGUUAGGGUUGGAGCUAGGGUUAGGGUUAGGGUUAGGGUUGGAGUUAGGGUUAGUGUUGGAGCUAGGGUUAGGGUUGGGCUUGGAGCUAGGAUUUUUCUGAGUGCACUGAACCAACUCCCGAGUCUCUAGGACAUUCCUAAAAAAAUUUGAUUUUUUCCCAUAGGAAUGCAUGGGUUAGGGUUAUGGGUUAGGGUUAGGGUUGGAGCUAGGGUUAGGGUUAGGGUUAGGGUUGGAGUUAGGGUUAGUGUUGGAGCUAGGGUUAGGGUUGGGCUUGGAGCUAGGAUUUUUCUGAGUGCACUGAACCAACUCCCGAGUCUCUAGGACAUUCCUAAAAAAAUUUGAUUUUUUCCCAUAGGAAUGCAUGGGUUAGGGUUAGGGUUAGGGUUGGAGCUAGGGUUAGGGUUAGGGUUAGGGUUGGAGUUAGGGUUAGUGUUGGAGCUAGGGUUAGGGUUGGGCUUGGAGCUAGGAUUUUUCUGAGUGCACUGAACCAACUCCCGAGUCUCUAGGACAUUCCUAAAAAAAUUUGAUUUUUUCCCAUAGGAAUGCAUGGGUUAGGGUUAGGGUUAGGGUUGGAGCUAGGGUUAGGGUUAGGGUUAGGGUUGGAGUUAGGGUUAGUGUUGGAGCUAGGGUUAGGGUUGGGCUUGGAGCUAGGAUUUUUCUGAGUGCACUGAACCAACUCCCGAGUCUCUAGGACAUUCCUAAAAAAAUUUGAUUUUUUCCCAUAGGAAUGCAUGGGUUAGGGUUAUGGUUAGGGUUAGGGUUGGAGCUAGGGUUAGGGUUAGGGUUAGGGUUGGAGUUAGGGUUAGUGUUGGAGCUAGGGUUAGGGUUGGGCUUGGAGCUAGGAUUUUUCUGAGUGCACUGAACCAACUCCCGAGUCUCUAGGACAUUCCUAAAAAAAUUUGAUUUUUUCCCAUAGGAAUGCAUGGGUUAGGGUUAUGGUUAGGGUUAGGGUUGGAGCUAGGGUUAGGGUUAGGGUUAGGGUUGGAGUUAGGGUUAGUGUUGGAGCUAGGGUUAGGGUUGGGCUUGGAGCUAGGAUUUUUCUGAGUGCACUGAACCAACUCCCGAGUCUCUAGGACAUUCCUAAAAAAAUUUGAUUUUUUCCCAUAGGAAUGCAUGGGUUAGGGUUAUGGUUAGGGUUAGGGUUGGAGCUAGGGUUAGGGUUAGGGUUAGGGUUGGAGUUAGGGUUAGUGUUGGAGCUAGGGUUAGGGUUGGGCUUGGAGCUAGGAUUUUUCUGAGUGCACUGAACCAACUCCCGAGUCUCUAGGACAUUCCUAAAAAAAUUUGAUUUUUUCCCAUAGGAAUGCAUGGGUUAGGGUUAUGGUUAGGGUUAGGGUUGGAGCUAGGGUUAGGGUUAGGGUUAGGGUUGGAGUUAGGGUUAGUGUUGGAGCUAGGGUUAGGGUUGGGCUUGGAGCUAGGAUUUUUCUGAGUGCACUGAACCAACUCCCGAGUCUCUAGGACAUUCCUAAAAAAAUUUGAUUUUUUCCCAUAGGAAUGCAUGGGUUAGGGUUAGGGGGUUAGGGUUGGAGCUAGGGUUAGGGUUAGGGUUAGGGUUGGAGUUAGGGUUAGUGUUGGAGCUAGGGUUAGGGUUGGGCUUGGAGCUAGGAUUUUUCUGAGUGCACUGAACCAACUCCCGAGUCUCUAGGACAUUCCUAAAAAAAUUUGAUUUUUUCCCAUAGGAAUGCAUGGGUUAGGGUUAUGGUUAGGGUUAGGGUUGGAGCUAGGGUUAGGGUUAGGGUUAGGGUUGGAGUUAGGGUUAGUGUUGGAGCUAGGGUUAGGGUUGGGCUUGGAGCUAGGAUUUUUCUGAGUGCACUGAACCAACUCCCGAGUCUCUAGGACAUUCCUAAAAAAAUUUGAUUUUUUCCCAUAGGAAUGCAUGGGUUAGGGUUAUGGUUAGGGUUAGGGUUGGAGCUAGGGUUAGGGUUAGGGUUAGGGUUGGAGUUAGGGUUAGUGUUGGAGCUAGGGUUAGGGUUGGGCUUGGAGCUAGGAUUUUUCUGAGUGCACUGAACCAACUCCCGAGUCUCUAGGACAUUCCUAAAAAAAUUUGAUUUUUUCCCAUAGGAAUGCAUGGGUUAGGGUUAGGUUAGGGUUAGGGUUGGAGCUAGGGUUAGGGUUAGGGUUAGGGUUGGAGUUAGGGUUAGUGUUGGAGCUAGGGUUAGGGUUGGGCUUGGAGCUAGGAUUUUUCUGAGUGCACUGAACCAACUCCCGAGUCUCUAGGACAUUCCUAAAAAAAUUUGAUUUUUUCCCAUAGGAAUGCAUGGGUUAGGGUUAUGGUUAGGGUUAGGGUUGGAGCUAGGGUUAGGGUUAGGGUUAGGGUUGGAGUUAGGGUUAGUGUUGGAGCUAGGGUUAGGGUUGGGCUUGGAGCUAGGAUUUUUCUGAGUGCACUGAACCAACUCCCGAGUCUCUAGGACGUUCCUAAAAAAAUUUGUUUUUUUCCCAUAGGAAUGCAUGGGUUAGGGUUAGGGUUAGGGUUGGAGCUAGGGUUAGGGUUAGGGUUAGGGUUGGAGUUAGGGUUAGUGUUGGAGCUAGGGUUAGGGUUGGGCUUGGAGCUAGGAUUUUUCUGAGUGCACUGAACCAACUCCCGAGUCUCUAGGACAUUCCUAAAAAAAUUUGAUUUUUUCCCAUAGGAAUGCAUGGGUUAGGGUUAUGGUUAGGGUUAGGGUUGGAGCUAGGGUUAGGGUUAGGGUUAGGGUUGGAGUUAGGGUUAGUGUUGGAGCUAGGGUUAGGGUUGGGCUUGGAGCUAGGAUUUUUCUGAGUGCACUGAACCAACUCCCGAGUCUCUAGGACAUUCCUAAAAAAAUUUGAUUUUUUCCCAUAGGAAUGCAUGGGUUAGGGUUAUGGUUAGGGUUAGGGUUGGAGCUAGGGUUAGGGUUAGGGUUAGGGUUGGAGUUAGGGUUAGUGUUGGAGCUAGGGUUAGGGUUGGGCUUGGAGCUAGGAUUUUUCUGAGUGCACUGAACCAACUCCCGAGUCUCUAGGACAUUCCUAAAAAAAUUUGAUUUUUUCCCAUAGGAAUGCAUGGGUUAGGGUUAUGGUUAGGGUUAGGGUUGGAGCUAGGGUUAGGGUUAGGGUUAGGGUUGGAGUUAGGGUUAGUGUUGGAGCUAGGGUUAGGGUUGGGCUUGGAGCUAGGAUUUUUCUGAGUGCACUGAACCAACUCCCGAGUCUCUAGGACAUUCCUAAAAAAAUUUGAUUUUUUCCCAUAGGAAUGCAUGGGUUAGGGUUAUGGUUAGGGUUAGGGUUGGAGCUAGGGUUAGGGUUAGGGUUAGGGUUGGAGUUAGGGUUAGUGUUGGAGCUAGGGUUAGGGUUGGGCUUGGAGCUAGGAUUUUUCUGAGUGCACUGAACCAACUCCCGAGUCUCUAGGACGUUCCUAAAAAAAUUUGAUUUUUUCCCAUAGGAAUGCAUGGGUUAGGGUUAGGGUUAGGGUUGGAGCUAGGGUUAGGGUUAGGGUUAGGGUUGGAGUUAGGGUUAGUGUUGGAGCUAGGGUUAGGGUUGGGCUUGGAGCUAGGAUUUUUCUGAGUGCACUGAACCAACUCCCGAGUCUCUAGGACAUUCCUAAAAAAAUUUGAUUUUUUCCCAUAGGAAUGCAUGGGUUAGGGUUAGGGUUAGGGUUGGAGCUAGGGUUAGGGUUAGGGUUAGGGUUGGAGUUAGGGUUAGUGUUGGAGCUAGGGUUAGGGUUGGGCUUGGAGCUAGGAUUUUUCUGAGUGCACUGAACCAACUCCCGAGUCUCUAGGACAUUCCUAAAAAAAUUUGAUUUUUUCCCAUAGGAAUGCAUGGGUUAGGGUUAUGGUUAGGGUUAGGGUUGGAGCUAGGGUUAGGGUUAGGGUUAGGGUUGGAGUUAGGGUUAGUGUUGGAGCUAGGGUUAGGGUUGGGCUUGGAGCUAGGAUUUUUCUGAGUGCACUGAACCAACUCCCGAGUCUCUAGGACAUUCCUAAAAAAAUUUGAUUUUUUCCCAUAGGAAUGCAUGGGUUAGGGUUAUGGUUAGGGUUAGGGUUGGAGCUAGGGUUAGGGUUAGGGUUAGGGUUGGAGUUAGGGUUAGUGUUGGAGCUAGGGUUAGGGUUGGGCUUGGAGCUAGGAUUUUUCUGAGUGCACUGAACCAACUCCCGAGUCUCUAGGACAUUCCUAAAAAAAUUUGAUUUUUUCCCAUAGGAAUGCAUGGGUUAGGGUUAGGGUUAGGGUUAGGGUUGGAGCUAGGGUUAGGGUUAGGGUUAGGGUUGGAGUUAGGGUUAGUGUUGGAGCUAGGGUUAGGGUUGGGCUUGGAGCUAGGAUUUUUCUGAGUGCACUGAACCAACUCCCGAGUCUCUAGGACAUUCCUAAAAAAAUUUGAUUUUUUCCCAUAGGAAUGCAUGGGUUAGGGUUAGGUUAGGGUUAGGGUUGGAGCUAGGGUUAGGGUUAGGGUUAGGGUUGGAGUUAGGGUUAGUGUUGGAGCUAGGGUUAGGGUUGGGCUUGGAGCUAGGAUUUUUCUGAGUGCACUGAACCAACUCCCGAGUCUCUAGGACAUUCCUAAAAAAAUUUGAUUUUUUCCCAUAGGAAUGCAUGGGUUAGGGUUAUGGUUAGGGUUAGGGUUGGAGCUAGGGUUAGGGUUAGGGUUAGGGUUGGAGUUAGGGUUAGUGUUGGAGCUAGGGUUAGGGUUGGGCUUGGAGCUAGGAUUUUUCUGAGUGCACUGAACCAACUCCCGAGUCUCUAGGACAUUCCUAAAAAAAUUUGAUUUUUUCCCAUAGGAAUGCAUGGGUUAGGGUUAGGGGUUAGGGUUGGAGCUAGGGUUAGGGUUAGGGUUAGGGUUGGAGUUAGGGUUAGUGUUGGAGCUAGGGUUAGGGUUGGGCUUGGAGCUAGGAUUUUUCUGAGUGCACUGAACCAACUCCCGAGUCUCUAGGACAUUCCUAAAAAAAUUUGAUUUUUUCCCAUAGGAAUGCAUGGGUUAGGGUUAUGGUUAGGGUUAGGGUUGGAGCUAGGGUUAGGGUUAGGGUUAGGGUUGGAGUUAGGGUUAGUGUUGGAGCUAGGGUUAGGGUUGGGCUUGGAGCUAGGAUUUUUCUGAGUGCACUGAACCAACUCCCGAGUCUCUAGGACAUUCCUAAAAAAAUUUGAUUUUUUCCCAUAGGAAUGCAUGGGUUAGGGUUAUGGUUAGGGUUAGGGUUGGAGCUAGGGUUAGGGUUAGGGUUAGGGUUGGAGUUAGGGUUAGUGUUGGAGCUAGGGUUAGGGUUGGGCUUGGAGCUAGGAUUUUUCUGAGUGCACUGAACCAACUCCCGAGUCUCUAGGACAUUCCUAAAAAAUUUGAUUUUUUCCCAUAGGAAUGCAUGGGUUAGGGUUAUGGUUAGGGUUAGGGUUGGAGCUAGGGUUAGGGUUAGGGUUAGGGUUGGAGUUAGGGUUAGUGUUGGAGCUAGGGUUAGGGUUGGGCUUGGAGCUAGGAUUUUUCUGAGUGCACUGAACCAACUCCCGAGUCUCUAGGACAUUCCUAAAAAAUUUGAUUUUUUCCCAUAGGAAUGCAUGGGUUAGGGUUAUGGUUAGGGUUAGGGUUGGAGCUAGGGUUAGGGUUAGGGUUAGGGUUGGAGUUAGGGUUAGUGUUGGAGCUAGGGUUAGGGUUGGGCUUGGAGCUAGGAUUUUUCUGAGUGCACUGAACCAACUCCCGAGUCUCUAGGACAUUCCUAAAAAAAUUUGAUUUUUUCCCAUAGGAAUGCAUGGGUUAGGGUUAUGGUUAGGGUUAGGGUUGGAGCUAGGGUUAGGGUUAGGGUUAGGGUUGGAGUUAGGGUUAGUGUUGGAGCUAGGGUUAGGGUUGGGCUUGGAGCUAGGAUUUUUCUGAGUGCACUGAACCAACUCCCGAGUCUCUAGGACAUUCCUAAAAAAAUUUGAUUUUUUCCCAUAGGAAUGCAUGGGUUAGGGUUAGGGUUAGGGUUAGGGUUGGAGCUAGGGUUAGGGUUAGGGUUAGGGUUGGAGUUAGGGUUAGUGUUGGAGCUAGGGUUAGGGUUGGGCUUGGAGCUAGGAUUUUUCUGAGUGCACUGAACCAACUCCCGAGUCUCUAGGACAUUCCUAAAAAAAUUUGAUUUUUUUCCCAUAGGAAUGCAUGGGUUAGGGUUAUGGUUAGGGUUAGGGUUGGAGCUAGGGUUAGGGUUAGGGUUAGGGUUGGAGUUAGGGUUAGUGUUGGAGCUAGGGUUAGGGUUGGGCUUGGAGCUAGGAUUUUUCUGAGUGCACUGAACCAACUCCCGAGUCUCUAGGACAUUCCUAAAAAAAUUUGAUUUUUUCCCAUAGGAAUGCAUGGGUUAGGGUUAUGGUUAGGGUUAGGGUUGGAGCUAGGGUUAGGGUUAGGGUUAGGGUUGGAGUUAGGGUUAGUGUUGGAGCUAGGGUUAGGGUUGGGCUUGGAGCUAGGAUUUUUCUGAGUGCACUGAACCAACUCCCGAGUCUCUAGGACAUUCCUAAAAAAUUUGAUUUUUUCCCAUAGGAAUGCAUGGGUUAGGGUUAGGGUUAGGGUUGGAGCUAGGGUUAGGGUUAGGGUUAGGGUUGGAGUUAGGGUUAGUGUUGGAGCUAGGGUUAGGGUUGGGCUUGGAGCUAGGAUUUUUCUGAGUGCACUGAACCAACUCCCGAGUCUCUAGGACAUUCCUAAAAAAUUUGAUUUUUUCCCAUAGGAAUGCAUGGGUUAGGGUUAUGGUUAGGGUUAGGGUUGGAGCUAGGGUUAGGGUUAGGGUUAGGGUUGGAGUUAGGGUUAGUGUUGGAGCUAGGGUUAGGGUUGGGCUUGGAGCUAGGAUUUUUCUGAGUGCACUGAACCAACUCCCGAGUCUCUAGGACAUUCCUAAAAAAAUUUGAUUUUUUCCCAUAGGAAUGCAUGGGUUAGGGUUAUGGUUAGGGUUAGGGUUGGAGCUAGGGUUAGGGUUAGGGUUAGGGUUGGAGUUAGGGUUAGUGUUGGAGCUAGGGUUAGGGUUGGGCUUGGAGCUAGGAUUUUUCUGAGUGCACUGAACCAACUCCCGAGUCUCUAGGACAUUCCUAAAAAAAUUUGAUUUUUUCCCAUAGGAAUGCAUGGGUUAGGGUUAGGUUAGGGUUAGGGUUGGAGCUAGGGUUAGGGUUAGGGUUAGGGUUGGAGUUAGGGUUAGUGUUGGAGCUAGGGUUAGGGUUGGGCUUGGAGCUAGGAUUUUUCUGAGUGCACUGAACCAACUCCCGAGUCUCUAGGACAUUCCUAAAAAAAUUUGAUUUUUUCCCAUAGGAAUGCAUGGGUUAGGGUUAUGGUUAGGGUUAGGGUUGGAGCUAGGGUUAGGGUUAGGGUUAGGGUUGGAGUUAGGGUUAGUGUUGGAGCUAGGGUUAGGGUUGGGCUUGGAGCUAGGAUUUUUCUGAGUGCACUGAACCAACUCCCGAGUCUCUAGGACAUUCCUAAAAAAAUUUGAUUUUUUCCCAUAGGAAUGCAUGGGUUAGGGUUAGGGUUAGGGUUGGAGCUAGGGUUAGGGUUAGGGUUAGGGUUGGAGUUAGGGUUAGUGUUGGAGCUAGGGUUAGGGUUGGGCUUGGAGCUAGGAUUUUUCUGAGUGCACUGAACCAACUCCCGAGUCUCUAGGACAUUCCUAAAAAAAUUUGAUUUUUUCCCAUAGGAAUGCAUGGGUUAGGGUUAUGGUUAGGGUUAGGGUUGGAGCUAGGGUUAGGGUUAGGGUUAGGGUUGGAGUUAGGGUUAGUGUUGGAGCUAGGGUUAGGGUUGGGCUUGGAGCUAGGAUUUUUCUGAGUGCACUGAACCAACUCCCGAGUCUCUAGGACAUUCCUAAAAAAUUUGAUUUUUUCCCAUAGGAAUGCAUGGGUUAGGGUUAUGGUUAGGGUUAGGGUUGGAGCUAGGGUUAGGGUUAGGGUUAGGGUUGGAGUUAGGGUUAGUGUUGGAGCUAGGGUUAGGGUUGGGCUUGGAGCUAGGAUUUUUCUGAGUGCACUGAACCAACUCCCGAGUCUCUAGGACAUUCCUAAAAAAAUUUGAUUUUUUCCCAUAGGAAUGCUAGGGUUAGGGUUGGGCUUGGAGCUAGGAUUUUUCUGAGUGCACUGAACCAACUCCCGAGUCUCUAGGACAUUCCUAAAAAAAUUGAGUUUUUCCCAUAGGAAUGCAUGGGUUAGGGGGUUAGGGUUAGGGUUGGAGCUAGGGUUAGGGUUAGGGUUAGGGUUGGAGUUAGGGUUAGUGUUGGAGCUAGGGUUAGGGUUGGGCUUGGAGCUAGGAUUUUUCUGAGUGCACUGAACCAACUCCCGAGUCUCUAGGACAUUCCUAAAAAAAUUUGAUUUUUUCCCAUAGGAAUGCAUGGGUUAGGGAUUAUAGUUAGGGUUAGGGUUGGAGCUAGGGUUAGGGUUAGGAUUAGGGUUGGAGUUAGGGUUAGUGUUGGAGCUAGGGUUAGGGUUGGGCUUGGAGCUAGGAUUUUUCUGAGUGCACUGAACCAACUCCCGAGUCUCUAGGACAUUCCUAAAAAAAUUUGAUUUUUUCCCAUAGGAAUGCAUGGGUUAUGGUUAGGGUUAGGGUUGGAGCUAGGGUUAGGGUUAGGGUUAGGGUUGGAGUUAGGGUUAGUGUUGGAGCUAGGUUAGGGUUGGGCUUGGAGCUAGGAUUUUUCUGAGUGCACUGAACCAACUCCCGAGUCUCUAGGACAUUCCUAAAAAAAAUUGAUUUUUUCCCAUAGGAAUGCAUGGGUUAGGGUUAUGGUUAGGGUUAGGGUUGGAGCUAGGGUUAGGGUUAGGGUUAGGGUUGGAGUUAGGGUUAGUGUUGGAGCUAGGGUUAGGGUUGGGCUUGGAGCUAGGAUUUUUCUGAGUGCACUGAACCAACUCCCGAGUCUCUAGGACAUUCCUAAAAAAAUUUGAUUUUUUCCAUAGGAAUGCAUGGGUUAGGGUUAUGGUUAGGGUUAGGGUUGGAGCUAGGGUUAGGGUUAGGGUUAGGGUUGGAGUUAGGGUUAGUGUUGGAGCUAGGGUUAGGGUUGGGCUUGGAGCUAGGAUUUUUCUGAGUGCACUGAACCAACUCCCGAGUCUCUAGGACGUUCCUAAAAAAAUUUGAUUUUUUCCCAUAGGAAUGCAUGGGUUAGGGUUAGGGUUAGGGUUGGAGCUAGGGUUAGGGUUAGGGUUAGGGUUGGAGUUAGGGUUAGUGUUGGAGCUAGGGUUAGGGUUGGGCUUGGAGCUAGGAUUUUUCUGAGUGCACUGAACCAACUGGAGUCUCUAGGACAUUCCUAAAAAAUUUGAUUUUUUCCCAUAGGAAUGCAUGGGUUAGGGUUAUGGUUAGGGUUAGGGUUGGAGCUAGGGUUAGGGUUAGGGUUAGGGUUGGAGGGAGCUAGGGUUAGGGUUGGGCUUGGAGCUAGGAUUUUUCUGAGUGCACUGAACCAACUCCCGAGUCUCUAGGACAUUCCUAAAAAAAUUUGAUUUUUUCCCAUAGAAUGCAUGGGUUAGGGUUAUGGUUAGGGUUAGGGUUGGAGCUAGGGUUAGGGUUAGGGUUAGGGUUGGAGUUAGGGUUAGUGUUGGAGCUAGGGUUAGGGUUGGGCUUGGAGCUAGGAUUUUUCUGAGUGCACUGAACCAACUCCCGAGUCUCUAGGACAUUCCUAAAAAAAUUUGAUUUUUUUCCCAUAGGAAUGCAUGGGUUAGGGUUAUGGUUAGGGUUAGGGUUGGAGCUAGGGUUAGGGUUAGGGUUAGGGUUGGAGUUAGGGUUAGUGUUGGAGCUAGGGUUAGGGUUGGGCUUGGAGCUAGGAUUUUUCUGAGUGCACUGAACCAACUCCCGAGUCUCUAGGACGUUCCUAAAAAAAUUUGAUUUUUUCCCAUAGGAAUGCAUGGGUUAGGGUUAGGGUUAGGGUUGGAGCUAGGGUUAGGGUUAGGGUUAGGGUUGGAGUUAGGGUUAGUGUUGGAGCUAGGGUUAGGGUUGGGCUUGGAGCUAGGAUUUUUCUGAGUGCACUGAACCAACUCCCGAGUCUCUAGGACAUUCCUAAAAAAAUUGAGUUUUUCCCAUAGGAAUGCAUGGGUUAGUUAGGUUAGGGUUAGGGUUGGAGCUAGGGUUAGGGUUAGGGUUAGGGUUGGAGUUAGGGUUAGUGUUGGAGCUAGGGUUAGGGUUGGGCUUGGAGCUAGGAUUUUUCUGAGUGCACUGAACCAACUCCCGAGUCUCUAGGACAUUCCUAAAAAAAUUUGAUUUUUUCCCAUAGGAAUGCAUGGGUUAGGGUUAUGGUUAGGGUUAGGGUUGGAGCUAGGGUUAGGGUUAGGGUUAGGGUUGGAGUUAGGGUUAGUGUUGGAGCUAGGGUUAGGGUUGGGCUUGGAGCUAGGAUUUUUCUGAGUGCACUGAACCAACUCCCGAGUCUCUAGGACAUUCCUAAAAAAAUUUGAUUUUUUCCCAUAGGAAUGCAUGGGUUAGGGUUAUGGUUAGGGUUAGGGUUGGAGCUAGGGUUAGGGUUAGGGUUAGGGUUGGAGUUAGGGUUAGUGUUGGAGCUAGGGUUAGGGUUGGGCUUGGAGCUAGGAUUUUUCUGAGUGCACUGAACCAACUCCCGAGUCUCUAGGACAUUCCUAAAAAAAUUUGAUUUUUUCCCAUAGGAAUGCAUGGGUUAGGGUUAUGGUUAGGGUUAGGGUUGGAGCUAGGGUUAGGGUUAGGGUUAGGGUUGGAGUUAGGGUUAGUGUUGGAGCUAGGGUUAGGGUUGGGCUUGGAGCUAGGAUUUUUCUGAGUGCACUGAACCAACUCCCGAGUCUCUAGGACAUUCCUAAAAAAAUUUGAUUUUUUCCCAUAGGAAUGCAUGGGUUAGGGUUAUGGUUAGGGUUAGGGUUGGAGCUAGGGUUAGGGUUAGGGUUAGGGUUGGAGUUAGGGUUAGUGUUGGAGCUAGGGUUAGGGUUGGCCUUGGAGCUAGGAUUUUUCUGAGUGCACUGAACCAACUCCCGAGUCUCUAGGACGUUCCUAAAAAAAUUUGAUUUUUUCCCAUAGGAAUGCAUGGGUUAGGGUUAGGGUUAGGGUUGGAGCUAGGGUUAGGGUUAGGGUUAGGGUUGGAGUUAGGGUUAGUGUUGGAGCUAGGGUUAGGGUUGGGCUUGGAGCUAGGAUUUUUCUGAGUGCACUGAACCAACUCCCGAGUCUCUAGGACAUUCCUAAAAAAAUUUGAUUUUUUCCCAUAGGAAUGCAUGGGUUAGGGUUAGGGUUAGGGUUGGAGCUAGGGUUAGGGUUAGGGUUAGGGUUGGAGUUAGGGUUAGUGUUGGAGCUAGGGUUAGGGUUGGGCUUGGAGCUAGGAUUUUUCUGAGUGCACUGAACCAACUCCCGAGUCUCUAGGACAUUCCUAAAAAAAUUUGAUUUUUUCCCAUAGGAAUGCAUGGGUUAGGGUUAUGGUUAGGGUUAGGGUUGGAGCUAGGGUUAGGGUUAGGGUUAGGGUUGGAGUUAGGGUUAGUGUUGGAGCUAGGGUUAGGGUUGGGCUUGGAGCUAGGAUUUUUCUGAGUGCACUGAACCAACUCCCGAGUCUCUAGGACAUUCCUAAAAAAAUUUGAUUUUUUCCCAUAGGAAUGCAUGGGUUAGGGUUAUGGUUAGGGUUAGGGUUGGAGCUAGGGUUAGGGUUAGGGUUAGGGUUGGAGUUAGGGUUAGUGUUGGAGCUAGGGUUAGGGUUGGGCUUGGAGCUAGGAUUUUUCUGAGUGCACUGAACCAACUCCCGAGUCUCUAGGACAUUCCUAAAAAAAUUUGAUUUUUUCCCAUAGGAAUGCAUGGGUUAGGGUUAUGGUUAGGGUUAGGGUUGGAGCUAGGUUUAGGGUUAGGAUUAGGGUUGGAGUUAGGGUUAGUGUUGGAGCUAGGGUUAGGGUUGGGCUUGGAGCUAGGAUUUUUCUGAGUGCACUGAACCAACUCCCGAGUCUCUAGGACAUUCCUAAAAAAAUUUGAUUUUUUCCCAUAGGAAUGCAUGGGUUAGGGUUAUGGUUAGGGUUAGGGUUGGAGCUAGGGUUAGGGUUAGGGUUAGGGUUGGAGUUAGGGUUAGUGUUGGAGCUAGGGUUAGGGUUGGGCUUGGAGCUAGGAUUUUUCUGAGUGCACUGAACCAACUCCCGAGUCUCUAGGACGUUCCUAAAAAUAUUUGAUUUUUUCCCAUAGGAAUGCAUGGGUUAGGGUUAGGGUUAGGGUUGGAGCAAGGGUUAGGGUUAGGGUUAGGGUUGGAGUUAGGGUUAGUGUUGGAGCUAGGCUUAGGGUUGGGCUUGGAGCUAGGAUUUUUCUGAGUGCACUGAACCAACUCCCGAGUCUCUAGGACAUUCCUAAAAAAAUUUGAUUUUUUCCCAUAGGAAUGCAUGGGUUAGGGUUAGGGUUAGGGUUGGAGCUAGGGUUAGGGUUAGGGUUAGGGUUGGAGUUAGGGUUAGUGUUGGAGCUAGGGUUAGGGUUGGGCUUGGAGCUAGGAUUUUUCUGAGUGCACUGAACCAACUCCCGAGUCUCUAGGACAUUCCUAAAAAAAAUUGAUUUUUUCCCAAAGGAAUGCAUGGGUUAGGGUUAUGGUUAGGGUUAGGGUUGGAGCUAGGGUUAGGGUUAGGGUUAGGGUUGGAGUUAGGGUUAGUGUUGGAGCUAGGGUUAGGGUUGGGCUUGGAGCUAGGAUUUUUCUGAGUGCACUGAACCAACUCCCGAGUCUCUAGGACAUUCCUAAAAAAAUUUGAUUUUUUCCCAUAGGAAUGCAUGGGUUAGGGUUAUGGUUAGGGUAAGGGUUGGAGCUAGGGUUAGGGUUAGGGUUAGGGUUGGAGUUAGGGUUAGUGUUGGAGCUAGGGUUAGGGUUGGGCUUGGAGCUAGGAUUUUUCUGAGUGCACUGAACCAACUCCCGAGUCUCUAGGACAUUCCUAAAAAAAUUUGAUUUUUUCCCAUAGGAAUGCAUGGGUUAGGGUUAUGGUUAGGGUUAGGGUUGGAGCUAGGGUUAGGGUUAGGGUUAGGGUUGGAGUUAGGGUUAGUGUUGGAGCUAGGGUUAGGGUUGGGCUUGGAGCUAGGAUUUUUCUGAGUGCACUGAACCAACUCCCGAGUCUCUAGGACAUUCCUAAAAAAAAUUGAAUUUUUCCCAUAGGAAUGCAUGGGUUAGGGUUAGGGUUGGAGCUAGGGUUAGGGUUAGGGUUAGGGUUGGAGUUAGGGUUAGUGUUGGAGCUAGGGUUAGGGUUGGGCUUGGAGCUAGGAUUUUUCUGAGUGCACUGAACCAACUCCCGAGUCUCUAGGACAUUCCUAAAAAAAUUUGAUUUUUUCCCAUAGGAAUGCAUGGGUUAGGGUUAUGGUUAGGGUUAGGGUUGGAGCUAGGGUUAGGGUUAGGGUUAGGGUUGGAGUUAGGGUUAGUGUUGGAGCUAGGGUUAGGGUUGGGCUUGGAGCUAGGAUUUUUCUGAGUGCACUGAACCAACUCCCGAGUCUCUAGGACAUUCCUAAAAAAAUUUGAUUUUUUCCCAUAGGAAUGCAUGGGUUAGGGUUAUGGUUAGGGUUAGGGUUGGAGCUAGGGUUAGGGUUAGGGUUAGGGUUGGAGUUAGGGUUAGUGUUGGAGCUAGGGUUAGGGUUGGGCUUGGAGCUAGGAUUUUUCUGAGUGCACUGAACCAACUCCCGAGUCUCUAGGACAUUCCUAAAAAAAUUUGAUUUUUUCCCAUAGGAAUGCAUGGGUUAGGGUUAUGGUUAGGGUUAGGGUUGGAGCUAGGGUUAGGGUUAGGGUUAGGGUUAGGGUUGGAGUUAGGGUUAGUGUUGGAGCUAGGGUUAGGGUUGGGCUUGGAGCUAGGAUUUUUCUGAGUGCAAUGAACCAACUCCCGAGUCUCUAGGACGUUCCUAAAAAAAUUUGAUUUUUUCCCAUAGGAAUGCAUGGGUUAGGGUUAGGGUUAGGGUUAGAGCUAGGGUUAGGGUUAGGGUUAGGGUUGGAGUUAGGGUUAGUGUUGGAGCAAGGGUUAGGGUUGGGCUUGGAGCUAGGAUUUUUCUGAGUGCAAUGAACCAACUCCCGAGUCUCUAGGAUGUUCCUAAAAAAAUUUGAUUUUUUCCCAUAGGAAUGCAUGGGUUAGGGUUAGGGUUAGGGUUGGAGCUAGGGUUAGGGUUAAGGUUAGGGUUGGAAUUAGGGUUAGUGUUUGAGCUAGGGUUAGGGUUGGGCUUGGAGCUAGGAUUUUUCUGAGUGCACUGAACCAACUCCCGAGUCUCUAGGACGUUCCUAAAAAAAUUGAUUUUUUCCCAUAGGAAUGCAUGGGUUAGGGUUAGGGUUAGGGUUGGAGCUAGGGUUAGGGUUAAGGUUAGGGUUGGAGUUAGGGUUAGUGUUGGAGCUAGGGUUAGGGUUGGGCUUGGAGCUAGGAUUUUUCUGAGUGCACUGAACCAACUCCCGAGUCUCUAGGGCAUUCCUAAAAAAAUUUGAUUUUUUCCCAUAGGAAUGCAUGGUUUAGGGUUAUGGUUAGGGUUAGGGUUGGAGCUAGGGUUAGGGUUAGGGUUAGGGUUAGGGUUGGAGUUAGGGUUAGUGUUGGAGCUAGGGUUAGGGUUGGGCUUGGAGCUAGGACUUUUCUGAGUGCAAUGAACCAACUCCCGAGUCUCUAGGACGUUCCCUAAAAAAUUUGAUUUUUUCCCAUAGGAAUGCAUGGGUUAGGGUUAGGGUUAGGGUUGGAGCUAGGGUUAGGGUUAGGGUUAGGGUUGGAGUUAGGGUUAGUGUUGGAGCUAGGGUUAGGGUUGGGCUUGGAGCUAGGAUUUUUCUGAGUGCAAUGAACCAACUCCCGAGUCUCUAGGACAUUCCUAAAAAAAUUUGAUUUUUUCCCAUAGGAAUGCAUGGGUUAGGGUUAUGGUUAGGGUUAGGGUUGGAGCUAGGGUUAGGGUUAGGGUUAGGGUUGGAGUUAGGGUUAGUGUUGGAGCUAGGGUUAGGGUUGGGCUUGGAGCUAGGAUUUUUCUGAGUGCACUGAACCAACUCCCGAGUCUCUAGGACAUUCCUAAAAAAAAUUUGAUUUUUUCCCAUAGGAAUGCAUGGGUUAGGGUUAGGGUUAGGGUUGGAGCUAGGGUUAGGGUUAGGGUUAGGGUUGGAGUUAGGGUUAGUGUUGGAGCUAGGGUUAGGGUUGGGCUUGGAGCUAGGAUUUUUCUGAGUGCAAUGAACCAACUCCCGAGUCUCUUGGACGUUCCUAAAAAAAUUUGAUUUUUUCCCAUAGGAAUGCAUGGGUUACGGUUAGGGUUAGGGUUGGAGCUAGGGUUAGGGUUAGGGUUAGGGUUGGAGUUAGGGUUAGUGUUGGAGCUAGGGUUAGGGUUGGGCUUGGAGCUAGGAUUUUUCUGAGUGCAAUGAACCAACUCCCGAGUCUCUAGGAUGUUCCUAAAAAAAUUUGAUUUUUUCCCAUAGGAAUGCAUGGGUUAGGGUUAGGGUUAGGGUUGGAGCUAGGGUUAGGGUUAAGGUUAGGGUUGGAGUUAGGGUUAGUGUUGGAGCUAGGGUUAGGGUUGGGCUUGGAGCUAGGAUUUUUCUGAGUGCACUGAACCAACUCCCGAGUCUCUAGGACGUUCCCUAAAAAAAUUUGAUUUUUUCCCAUAGGAAUGCAUGGGUUAGGGUUAGGGUUAGGGUUGGAGCUAGGGUUAGGGUUAGGGUUAGGGUUGGAGUUAGGGUUAGUGUUGGAGCUAGGGUUAGGGUUGGGCUUGGAACUAGGAUUUUUCUGAGUGCACUGAACCAACUCCCGAGUCUCUAGGACAUUCCUAAAAAAAUUGAUUUUUUCCCAUAGGAAUGCAUGGGUUAGGGUUAUGGUUAGGGUUAGGGUUGGAGCUAGGGUUAGGGUUAGGGUUAGGGUUGGAGUUAGGGUUAGUGUUGGAGCUAGGGUUAGGGUUGGGCUUGGAGCUAGGACUUUUCUGAGUGCAAUGAACCAACUCCCGAGUCUCUAGGACGUUCCCUAAAAAAAUUGAUUUUUUCCCAUAGGAAUGCAUGGGUUAGGGUUAGGGUUAGGGUUGGAGCUAGGGUUAGGGUUAGGGUUAGGGUUGGAGUUAGGGUUAGUGUUGGAGCUAGGGUUAGGGUUGGGCUUGGAGCUAGGAUUUUUCUGAGUGCAAUGAACCAACUCCCGAGUCUCUUGGACGUUCCUAAAAAAAUUUGAUUUUUUCCCAUAGGAAUGCAUGGGUUAGGAUUAGGGUGAGGGUUGGAGCUAGGGUUAGGGUUAGGGUUAGGGUUGGAGUUAGGGUUAGUGUUGGAGCUAGGGUUAGGGUUGGCCUUGGAGCUAGGAUUUUUCUGAGUGCAAUGAACCAACUCCCGAGUCUCUAGGACGUUCCUAAAAAAAUUUGAUUUUUUCCCAUAGGAAUGCAUGGGUUAGGGUUAGGGUUAGGGUUGGAGCUAGGGUUAGGGUUAGGGUUAGGGUUAGGGUUGGAGUUAGGGUUAGUGUUGGAGCUAGGGUUAGGGUUGGGCUUGGAGCUAGGAUUUUUCUGAGUGCAAUGAACCAACUCCCGAGUCUCUAGGACGUUCCUAAAAAAAUUUGAUUUUUUCCCAUAGGAAUGCAUGGGUUAGGGUUAGGGUUAGGGUUGGAGCUAGGGUUAGGGUUAGGGUUAGGGUUGGAGUUAGGGUUAGUGUUGGAGCUAGGGUUAGGGUUGGGCUUGGAGCUAGGAUUUUUCUGAGUGCAAUGAACCAACUCCCGAGUCUCUAGGAUGUUCCUAAAAAAAUUUGAUUUUUUCCCAUAGGAAUGCAUGGGUUAGGGUUAGGGUUAGGGUUGGAGCUAGGGUUAGGGUUAGGGUUAGGGUUAGGGUUGGAAUUAGGGUUAGUGUUGGAGCUAGGGUUAGGGUUGGGCUUGGAGCUAGGAUUUUUCUGAGUGCACUGAACCAACUCCCGAGUCUCUAGGACGUUCCUCAAAAAAUUUGAUUUUUUCCCAUAGGAAUGCAUGGGUUAGGGUUAGGGUUAGGGUUGGAGCUAGGGUUAGGGUUAAGUUUAGGGUUGGAGUUAGGGUUAGUGUUGGAGCUAGGGUUAGGGUUGGGCUUGGAGCUAGGAUUUUUCUGAGUGCACUGAACCAACUCCCGAGUCUCUAGGACAUUCCUAAAAAAAUUGAUUUUUUCCCAUAGGAAUGCAUGGGUUAGGGUUAUGGUUAGGGUUAGGGUUGGAGCUAGGGUUAGGGUUAGGGUUAGGGUUGGAGUUAGGGUUAGUGUUGGAGCUAGGGUUAGGGUUGGGCUUGGAGCUAGGAUUUUUCUGAGUGCAAUGAACCAACUCCCGAGUCUCUAGGACGUUCCCUAAAAAAAUUGAUUUUUUCCCAUAGGAAUGCAUGGGUUAGGGUUAGGGUUAGGGUUGGAGCUAGGGUUAGGGUUAGGGUUAGGGUUGGAGUUAGGGUUAGUGUUGGAGCUAGGGUUAGGGUUGGGCUUGGAGCUAGGAUUUUUCUGAGUGCAAUGAACCAACUCCCGAGUCUCUUGGACGUUCCUAAAAAAAUUUGAUUUUUUCCCAUAGGAAUGCAUGGGUUAGGAUUAGGGUGAGGGUUGGAGCUAGGGUUAGGGUUAGGGUUAGGGUUGGAGUUAGGGUUAGUGUUGGAGCUAGGGUUAGGGUUGGCCUUGGAGCUAGGAUUUUUCUGAGUGCAAUGAACCAACUCCCGAGUCUCUAGGACGUUCCUAAAAAAAAUUGAUUUUUUCCCAUAGGAAUGCAUGGGUUAGGGUUAGGGUUAGGGUUGGAGCUAGGGUUAGGGUUAGGGUUAGGGUUAGUGUUGGAGUUAGGGUUAGUGUUGGAGCUAGGGUUAGGGUUGGGCUUGGAGCUAGGAUUUUUCUGAGUGCAAUGAACCAACUCCGAGUCUCUAGGACAUUCCUAAAAAAAUUUGAUUUUUUUCCCAUAGGAAUGCAUGGGUUAGGGUUAGGGUUAGGGUUGGAGCUAGGGUUAGGGUUAGGGUUAGGGUUGGAGUUAGGGUUAGUGUUGGAGCUAGGGUUAGGGUUAGGCUUUGAGCUAGGAUUUUUCUGAGUGCACUGAACCAACUCCCGAGUCUCUAGGACGUUCCUAAAAAAAUUUGAUUUUUUCCCAUAGGAAUGCAUGGGUUAGGGUUAGGGUAAGGGUUGGAGCUAGGGUUAGGGUUAGGGUUAGGGUUGGAGUUAGGGUUAGUGUUGGAGCUAGGGUUAGGGUUGGGCUUGGUGCUAGGAUUUUUCUGAGUAAAAUGAACCAACUCCCGAGUCUCUUGGACGUUCCUAAAAAAAUUUGAUUUUUUCCCAUAGGAAUGCAUGGGUUAAGGUUAGGGUUAGGGUUGGAGCUAGGGUUAGGGUUAGGGUUAGGGUUGGAGUUAGGGUUAGUGUUGGAGCAAAGGUUAGGGUUGGGCUUGGAGCUAGGAUUUUUCUGAGUGCACUGAACCAACUCCCGAGUCUCUAGGACGUUCCUAAAAAAAUUUGAUUUUUUCCCAUAGGAAUGCAUAGGUUAGGGUUAGGGUUAGGGUUGGAGCUAGGGUUAGGGUUAAGGUUAGGGUUGGAGUUAGGGUUAGUGUUGGAGCUAGGGUUAGGGUUGGGCUUGGAGCUAGGAUUUUUCUGAGUGCACUGAACCAACUCCCGAGUCUCUAGGACAUUCCUAAAAAAAUUUGAUUUUUUCCCAUAGGAAUGCAUGGUUUAGGGUUAUGGUUAGGGUUAGGGUUGGAGCUAGGGUUAGGGUUAGGGUUAGGGUUGGAGUUAGGGUUAGUGUUGGAGCUAGGGUUAGGGUUGGGCUUGGAGCUAGGAUUUUUCUGAGUGCACUGAACCAACUCCCGAGUCUCUAGGACAUUCCUAAAAAAAUUUGAUUUUUUCCCAUAGGAAUGCAUGGGUUAGGGUUAGGGUUAGGGUUAGGGUUGGAGCUAGGGUUAGGGUUAGGGUUAGGGUUGUAGUUAGGGUUAGUGUUGGAGCUAGGGUUAGGGUUGGGCAUGGAGCUAGGAUUUUUCUGAGUGCAAUGAACCAACUCCCGAGUCUCUUGGACGUUCCUAAAAAAAUUUAAUUUUUUCCCAUAGGAAUGCAUGGGUUAGGGUUAGGGUUAGGGUUGGAGCUAGGGUUAGGGUUAGGGUUAGGGUUGGAGUAAGGGUUAGUGUUGGAGCUAGGGUUAGGGUUGGACUUGGAGCUAGGAUUUUUCUGAGUGCACUGAACCAACUCCCGAGUCUCUAGGACAUUCCUAAAAAAAUUUGAUUUUUUCCCAUAGGAAUGCAUGGGUUAGGGUUAUGGUUAGGGUUAGGGUUGGAGCUAGGGUUAGGGUUAGGGUUAGGGUUGGAGUUAGGGUUAGUGUUGGAGCUAGGGUUAGGGUUGGGCUUGGAGCUAGGAUUUUUCUGAAUGCAAUGAACCAACUCCCGAGUCUCUAGGACGUUCCCUAAAAAAAAUUGAUUUUUUCCCAUAGGAAUGCAUGGGUUAGGGUUAGGGUUAGGGUUGGAGCUAGGGUUAGGGUUAGGGUUAGGGUUAGGGUUGGAGUUAGGGUUAGUGUUGGAGCUAGGGUUAGGCUUGGGCUUGGAGCUAGGAUUUUUCUGAGUACAAUGAACCAACUCCCGAGUCUCUUGGACGUUCCUAAAAAAAUUUGAUUUUUUCCCAUAGGAAUGCAUGGGUUAGGGUUAGGGUUAGGGUUGGAGCUAGGGUUAGGGUUAGGGUUAGGGUUGGAGUUAGGGUUAGUGUUGGAGCUAGGGUUAGGGUUGGGCUUGGAGCUAGGAUUUUUCUGAGUGCAAUGAACCAACUCCCGAGUCUCUAGGACGUUCCUAAUAAAAUUUGAUUUUUUCCCAUAGGAAUGCAUGGGUUAGGGUUAGGGUAAGUGUUGGAGCUAGGGUUUGGGUUAAGGUUAGGGUUGGAGUUAGGGUUAGUGUUGGAGCUAGGGUUAGGGUUGGGCUUGGAGCUAGGAUUUUUCUGAGUGCACUGAACCAACUCCCGAGUCUCUAGGACAUUCCUAAAAAAAUUUGAUUUUUUCCCAUAGGAAUGCAUGGUUUAGGGUUAUGGUUAGGGUUAGGGUUGGAGCUAGGGUUAGGGUUAGGGUUAGGGUUGGAGUUAGGGUUAGUGUUGGAGCUAGGGUUAGGGUUGGGCUUGGAGCUAGGAUUUUUCUGAGUGCACUGAACCAACUCCCGAGUCUCUAGGACAUUCCUAAAAAAAUUUGAUUUUUUCCCAUAGGAAUGCAUGGGUUAGGGUUAUGGUUAGGGUUAGGGUUGGAGCUAGGGUAAGGGUUAGGGUUAGGGUUGGAGUUAGGGUUAGUGUUGGAGCUAGGUUUAGGGUUGGGCUUGGAGCUAGGAUUUUUCUGAGUGCAAUGAACCAACUCCCGAGUCUCUUGGAUGUUCCUAAAAAAAUUUGAUUUUUUCCCAUAGGAAUGCAUGGGUUAGGGUUAGGGUUAGGGUUGGAGCUAGGGUUAGGGUUAGGGUUAGGGUUGGAGUAAGGGUUAGUGUUGGAGCUAGGGUUAGGGUUGGGCUUGGAGCUAGGAUUUUUCUGAGUGCACUGAACCAACUCCCGAGUCUCUAGGACAUUCCUAAAAAAAUUUGAUUUUUUCCCAUAGGAAUGCAUGGGUUAGGGUUAUGGUUAGGGUUAGGGUUGGAGCUAGGGUUAGGGUUAGGGUUAGGGUUGGAGUUAGGGUUAGUGUUGGAGCUAGGGUUAGGGUUGGGCUUGGAGCUAGGAUUUUUCUGAGUGCAAUGAACCAACUCCCGAGUCUCUAGGACGUUCCCUAAAAAAAUUUGAUUUUUUCCCAUAGGAAUGCAUGGGUUAGGGUUAGGGUUAGGGUUGGAGCUAGGGUUAGGGUUAGGGUUAGGGUUGGAGUUAGGGUUAGUGUUGGAGCUAGGGUUAGGCUUGGGCUUGGAGCUAGGAUUUUUCUGAGUACAAUGAACCAACUCCCGAGUCUCUUGGACGUUCCUAAAAAAAUUUGAUUUUUUCCCAUAGGAAUGCAUGGGUUAGGGUUAGGGUUAGGGUUGGAGCUAGGGUUAGGGUUAGGGUUAGGGUUGGAGUUAGGGUUAGUGUUGGAGCUAGGGUUAGGGUUGGGCUUGGAGCUAGGAUUUUUCUGAGUGCAAUGAACCAACUCCCGAGUCUCUAGGACGUUCCUAAUAAAAUUUGAUUUUUUCCCAUAGGAAUGCAUGGGUUAGGGUUAGGGUAAGGGUUGGAGCUAGGGUUUGGGUUAAGGUUAGGGUUGGAGUUAGGGUUAGUGUUGGAGCUAGGGUUAGGGUUGGGCUUGGAGCUAGGAUUUUUCUGAGUGCACUGAACCAACUCCCGAGUCUCUAGGACAUUCCUAAAAAAAUUUGAUUUUUUCCCAUAGGAAUGCAUGGGUUUGGGUUAGGGUUAGGGUUGGAGCUAGGGUUAGGGUUAGGGUUAGGGUUGGAGUUAGGGUUAGUGUUGGAGCUAGGGUUAGGGUUGGGCUUGGAGCUAGGAUUUUUCUGAGUGCAAUGAACCAACUCCCGAGUCUCUUGGACGUUCCUAAAAAAUUUUGAUUUUUUCCCAUAGGAAUGCAUGGGUUAGGGUUAGGGUUAGGGUUGGAGCUAGGGUUAGGGUUAGGGUUAGGGUUGGAGUUAGGGUUAGUGUUGGAGCUAGGGUUAGGAUUGGGCUUGGAGCUAGGAUUUUUCUGAGUGCAAUGAACCAACUCCCGAGUCUCUAGGACGUUCCUAAUAAAAUUUGAUUUUUUCCCAUAGGAAUGCAUGGGUUAGGGUUAGGGUAAGGGUUGGAGCUAGGGUUAGGGUUAAGGUUAGGGUUGGAGUUAGGGUUAGUGUUGGAGCUAGGGUUAGGGUUGGGCUUGGAGCUAGGAUUUUUCUGAGUGCACUGAACCAACUCCCGAGUCUCUAGGACAUUCCUAAAAAAAUUUGAUUUUUUCCCAUAGGAAUGCAUGGUUUAGGGUUAUGGUCAGGGUUAGGGUUGGAGCUAGGGUUAGGGUUAGGGUUAGGGUUGGAGUUAGGGUUAGUGUUGGAGCUAGGGUUAGGGUUGGGCUUGGAGCUAGGAUUUUUCUGAGUGGAAUGAACCAACUCCCGAGUCUCUAGGACGUUCCUAAAAAAAUUUGAUUUUUUCCCAUAGGAAUGCAUGGGUUAGGGUUAGGGUUAGGGUUGGAGCUAGGGUUAGGGUUAGGGUUAGGGUUGGAGUUAGGGUUAGUGUUGGAGCUAGGGUUAGGGUUGGGCUUGGAGCUAGGAUUUUUCUGAGUGCACUGAACCAACUCCCGAGUCUCUAGGACAUUCCUAAAAAAAUUGAUUUUUUUUCCCAUAGGAAUGCAUGGGUUAGGGUUAUGGUUAGGUUUAGGGUUGGAGCUAGGGUUAGGGUAAGGGUUAGGGUUGGAGUUAGGGUUAGUGUUGGAGCUAGGGUUAGGGUUGGGCUUGGAGCUAGGAUUUUUCUGAGUGCAAUGAACCAACUCCCGAGUCUCUAGGACGUUCCUAAAAAAAUUUGAUUUUUUCCCAUAGGAAUGCAUGGGUUAGGGUUAGGGUUAGGGUUGGAGCUAGGGUUAGGGUUAGGGUUAGGGUUGGAGUUAGGGUUAGUGUUGGAGCUAGGGUUAGGGUUGGGCUUGGAGCUAGGAUUUUUCUGAGUGCAAUGAACCAACUCCCGAGUCUCUAGGACGUUCCUAAAAAAAAUUGAUUUUUUCCCAUAGGAAUGCAUGGGUUAGGGUUAGGGUUAGGGUUGGAGCUAGGGUUAGGGUUAGGGUUAGGGUUGGAGUUAGGGUUAGUGUUGGAGCUAGGGUUAGGGUUGGGCUUGGAGCUAGGACUUUUCUGAGUGCAAUGAACCAACUCCCGAUUCUCUAGGACAUUCCUAAAAAAAUUUGAUUUUUUCCCAUAGGAAUGCAUGGGUUAGGGUUAUGGGUUAGGGUUAGGGUUGGAGCUAGGGUUAGGGUUAGGGUUAGGGUUGGAGUUAGGGUUAGUGUUGGAGCUAGGGUUAGGGUUGGGCUUGGAGCUAGGAUUUUUCUGAGUGCACUGAACCAACUCCCGAGUCUCUAGGACAUUCCUAAAAAAAUUUGAUUUUUUCCCAUAGGAAUGCAUGGGUUAGGGUUAGGGUUAGGGUUAGGGUUGGAGCUAGGGUUAGGGUUAGGGUUAGGGUUGGAGUUAGGGUUAGUGUUGGAGCUAGGGUUAGGGUUGGGCUUGGAGCUAGGAUUUUUCUGAGUGCACUGAACCAACUCCCGAGUCUCUAGGACAUUCCUAAAAAAAUUUGAUUUUUUCCCAUAGGAAUGCAUGGUUUAGGGUUAUGGUUAGGGUUAGGGUUGCAGCUAGGGUUAGGGUUAGGGUUAGGGUUGGAGUUAGGGUUAGUGUUGGAGCUAGGGUUAGGGUUGGGCUUGGAGCUAGGAUUUUUCUGAGUGCAAUGAACCAACUCCCGAGUCUCUAGGACGUUCCUAAAAAAAUUUGAUUUUUUCCCAUAGGAAUGCAUGGGUUAGGGUUAGGGUUAGGGUUGGAGCUAGGGUUAGGGUUAGGGUUAGGGUUGGAGUUAGGGUUAGUGUUGGAGCUAGGGUUAGGGUUGGGCUUGGAGCUAGGAUUUUUCUGAGUGCAAUGAACCAACUCCCGAGUCUCUAGGACGUUCCUAAUAAAAUUUGAUUUUUUCCCAUAGGAAUGCAUGGGUUAGGGUUAGGGUAAGGGUUGGAGCUAGGGUUAGGGGUAAGGGUUAGGGUUGGAGUUAGGGUUAGUGUUGGAGCUAGGGUUAGGGUUGGGCUUGGAGCUAGGAUUUUUCUGAGUGCACUGAACCAACUCCCGAGUCUCUAGGACAUUCCUAAAAAAAUUUGAUUUUUUCCCAUAGGAAUGCAUGGUUUAGGGUUAUGGUCAGGGUUAGGGUUGGAGCUAGGGUUAGGGUUAGGGUUAGGGUUGGAGUUAGGGUUAGUGUUGGAGCUAGGGUUAGGGUUGGGCUUGGAGCUAGGAUUUUUCUGAGUGGAAUGAACCAACUCCCGAGUCUCUAGGACGUUCCUAAAAAAAUUUGAUUUUUUCCCAUAGGAAUGCAUGGGUUAGGGUUAGGGUUAGGGUUGGAGCUAGGGUUAGGGUUAGGGUUAGGGUUGGAGUUAGGGUUAGUGUUGGAGCUAGGGUUAGGGUUGGGCUUGGAGCUAGGAUUUUUCUGAGUGCACUGAACCAACUCCCGAGUCUCUAGGACAUUCCUAAAAAAAUUGAUUUUUUUCCCAUAGGAAUGCAUGGGUUAGGGUUAUGGUUAGGUUUAGGGUUGGAGCUAGGGUUAGGGUAAGGGUUAGGGUUGGAGUUAGGGUUAGUGUUGGAGCUAGGGUUAGGGUUGGGCUUGGAGCUAGGAUUUUUCUGAGUGCAAUGAACCAACUCCCGAGUCUCUUGGACGUUCCUAAAAAAAUUUGAUUUUUUCCCAUAGGAAUGCAUGGGUUAAGGUUAGGGUUAGGGUUGGAGCUAGGGUUAGGGUUAGGGUUAGGGUUGGAGUUAGGGUUAGUGUUGGAGCUAGGGUUAGGGUUGGGCUUGGAGCUAGGAUUUUUCUGAGUGCAAUGAACCAACUCCCGAGUCUCUAGGACGUUCCUAAAAAAAUUUGAUUUUUUCCCAUAGGAAUGCAUGGGUUAGGGUUAGGGUUAGGGUUGGAGCUAGGGUUAGGGUUAGGGUUAGGGUUGGAGUUAGGGUUAGUGUUGGAGCUAGGGUUAGGGUUGGGCUUGGAGCUAGGAUUUUUCUGAGUGCAAUGAACCAACUCCCGAUUCUCUAGGACAUUCCUAAAAAAAUUUGAUUUUUUCCCAUAGGAAUGCAUGGGUUAGGGUUAGGGUUAGGGUUGGAGCUAGGGUUAGGGUUAGGGUUAGGGUUGGAGUUAGGGUUAGUGUUGGAGCUAGGGUUAGGGUUGGGCUUGGAGCUAGGAUUUUUCUGAGUGCACUGAACCAACUCCCGAGUCUCUAGGACAUUCCUAAAAAAAUUUGAUUUUUUCCCAUAGGAAUGCAUGGGUUAGGGUUAUGGUUAGGGUUAGGGUUGGAGCUAGGGUUAGGGUUAGGGUUAGGGUUGGAGUUAGGGUUAGUGUUGGAGCUAGGGUUAGGGUUGGGCUUGGAGCUAGGAUUUUUCUGAGUGCACUGAACCAACUCCCGAGUCUCUAGGACAUUCCUAAAAAAAUUUGAUUUUUUCCCAUAGGAAUGCAUGGGUUAGGGUUAGGGUUAGGGUUGGAGCUAGGGUUAGGGUUAGGGUUAGGGUUGGAGUUAGGGUUAGUGUUGGAGCUAGGGUUAGGGUUGGGCUUGGAGCUAGGAUUUUUCUGAGUGCAAUGAACCAACUCCCGAGUCUCUAGGAUGUUCCCUAAAAAAAUUUGAUUUUUUCCCAUAGGAAUGCAUGGGUUAGGGUUAGGGUUAGGGUUGGAGCUAGGGUUAGGGUUAGGGUAAGGGUUGGAGUUAGGGUUAGUGUUGGAGCUAGGGUUAGGGUUGGGCUUGGAGCUAGGAUUUUUCUGAGUGCACUGAACCAACUCCCGAGUCUCUAGGACAUUCCUAAAAAAAUUUGAUUUUUUCCCAUAGGAAUGCAUGGGUUAGGGUUAGGGUUAGGGUUGGAGCUAGGGUUAGGGUUAGGGUUAGGGUUGGAGUUAGGGUUAGUGUUGGAGCUAGGGUUAGGGUUGGGCUUGGAGCUAGGAUUUUUCUGAGUGCACUGAACCAACUCCCGAGUCUCUAGGACAUUCCUAAAAAAAUUUGAUUUUUUCCCAUAGGAAUGCAUGGGUUAGGGUUAGGGUUAGGGUUAGGGUUGGAGCUAGGGUUAGGGUUAGGGUUAGGGUUGGAGUUAGGGUUAGUGUUGGAGCUAGGGUUAGGGUUGGGCUUGGAGCUAGGAUUUUUCUGAGUGCACUGAACCAACUCCCGAGUCUCUUGGACGUUCCUAAAAAAAUUUGAUUUUUUCCCAUAGGAAUGCAUGGGUUAGGGUUAUGGUUAGGGUUAGGGUUGGAGCUAGGGUUAGGGUUAGGGUUAGGGUUGGAGUUAGGGUUAGUGUUGGAGCUAGGGUUAGGGUUGGGCUUGGAGCUAGGAUUUUUCUGAGUGCAAUGAACCAACUCCCGAGUCUCUAGGACGUUCCUAAAAAAAUUUGAUUUUUUCCCAUAGGAAUGCAUGGGUUAGGGUUAGGGUUAGGGUUGGAGCUAGGGUUAGGGUUAGGGUUAGGGUUGGAGUUAGGGUUAGUGUUGGAGCUAGGGUUAGGGUUGGGCUUGGAGCUAGGAUUUUUCUGAGUGCACUGAACCAACUCCCGAGUCUCUAGGACGUUCCUAAAAAAAUUUGAUUUUUUCCCAUAGGAAUGCAUGGGUUAGGGUUAUGGUUAGGGUUAGGGUUGGAGCUAGGGUUAGGGUUAGGGUUAGGGUUGGAGUUAGGGUUAGUGUUGGAGCUAGGGUUAGGGUUGGGCUUGGAGCUAGGAUUUUUCUGAGUGCAAUGAACCAACUCCCGAAUCUCUUGGACGUUCCUAAAAAAAUUUGAUUUUUUCCCAUAGGAAUGCAUGGGUUAGGGUUAGGGUUAGGGUUGGAGCUAGGGUUAGGGUUAGGGUUAGGGUUGGAGUUAGGGUUAGUGUUGGAGCUAGGGUUAGGGUUGGGCUUGGAGCUAGGAUUUUUCUGAGUGCACUGAACCAACUCCCGAGUCUCUAGGACAUUCCUAAAAAAAUUGAUUUUUUCCCAUAGGAAUGCAUGGUUUAGGGUUAUGGUUAGGGUUAGGGUUGGAGCUAGGGUUAGGGUUAGGGUUAGGGUUGGAGUUAGGGUUAGUGUUGGAGCUAGGGUUAGGGUUGCGCUUGGAGCUAGGAUUUUUCUGAGUGCAAUGAACCAACUCCCGAGUCUCUAGGACGUUCCUAAAAAAAUUUGAUUUUUUCCCAUAGGAAUGCAUGGGUUAGGGUUAGGGUUAGGGUUGGAGCUAGGGUUAGGGUUAGGGUUAGGGUUGGAGUUAGGGUUAGUGUUGGAGCUAGGGUUAGGGUUGGGCUUGGAGCUAGGAUUUUUCUGAGUGCACUGAACCAACUCCCGAGUCUCUAGGACAUUCCUAAAAAAAUUUGAUUUUUUCCCAUAGGAAUGCAUGGGUUAGGGUUAUGGUUGGGGUUAGGGUUGGAGCUAGGGUUAGGGUUAGGGUUAGGGUUGGAGUUAGGGUUAGUGUUGGAGCUAGGGUUAGGGUUGGGCUUGGAGCUAGGAUUUUUCUGAGUGCACUGAACCAACUCCCGAGUCUCUAGGACGUUCCUAAAAAAAUUUGAUUUUUUCCCAUAGGAAUGCAUGGGUUAGGGUUAGGGUUAGGGUUGGAGCUAGGGUUAGGGUUAGGGUUAGGGUUAGGGUUGGAGUUAGGGUUAGUGUUGGAGCUAGGGUUAGGGUUGGGCUUGGAGCUAGGAUUUUUCUGAGUGCACUGAACCAACUCCCGAGUCUCUAGGAUAUUCCUAAAAAAAUUUGAUUUUUUCCCAUAGGAAUGCAUGGGUUAGGGUUAGGGUUAGGGUUGGAGCUAGGGUUAGGGUUAGGGUUAGGGUUGGAGUUAGGGUUAGUGUUGGAGCUAGGGUUAGGGUUGGGCUUGGAGCUAGGAUUUUUCUGAGUGCACUGAACCAACUCCCGAGUCUCUAGGACAUUCCUAAAAAAAUUUGAUUUUUUCCCAUAGGAAUGCAUGGGUUAGGGUUAUGGUUAGGGUUAGGGUUGGAGCUAGGGUUAGGGUUAGGUUUAGGGUUGGAGUUAGGGUUAGUGUUGGAGCUAGGGUUAGGGUUGGGCUUGGAGCUAGGACUUUUCUGAGUGCAAUGAACCAACUCCCGAGUCUCUAGGACGUUCCCUAAAAAAAUUUGAUUUUUUCCCAUAGGAAUGCAUGGGUUAGGGUUAGGGUUAGGGUUGGAGCUAGGGUUAGGGUUAGGGUUAGGGUUGGAGUUAGGGUUAGUGUUGGAGCUAGGUUUAGGGUUGGGCUUGGAGCUAGGAUUUUUCUGAGUGCACUGAACCAACUCCCGAGUCUCUAGGACAUUCCUAAAAAAAUUUGAUUUUUUCCCAUAGGAAUGCAUGGGUUAGGGUUAUGGUUGGGGUUAGGGUUGGAGCUAGGGUUAGGGUUAGGGUUAGGGUUGGAGUUAGGGUUAGUGUUGGAGCUAGGGUUAGGGUUGGGCUUGGAGCUAGGAUUUUUCUGAGUGCACUGAACCAACUCCCGAGUCUCUAGGACAUUCCUAAAAAAAUUGAUUUUUUCCCAUAGGAAUGCAUGGGUUAGGGUUAUGGUUAGGGUUAGGGUUGGAGCGAGGGUUAGGGUUAGGGUUAGGGUUGGAGUUAGGGUUAGUGUUGGAGCUAGGGUUAGGGUUGGGCUUGGAGCUAGGAUUUUCUGAGUGCAAUGAACCAACUCCCGAGUCUCUAGGACGUUCCUAAAAAAAUUUGAUUUUUUCCCAUAGGAAUGCAUGGGUUAGGGUUAGGGUUAGGGUUGGAGCUAGGGUUAGGGUUAGGGUUAGGGUUAGGGUUGGAGUUAGGGUUAGUGUUGGAGCUAGGGUUAGGGUUGGGCUUGGAGCUAGGAUUUUUCUGAGUGCACUGAACCAACUCCCGAGUCUCUAGGACAUUCCUAAAAAAAUUUGAUUUUUUCCCAUAGGAAUGCAUGGUUUAGGGUUAUGGUUAGGGUUAGGGUUGGAGCUAGGGUUAGGGUUAGGGUUAGGGUUGGAGUUAGGGUUAGUGUUGGAGCUAGGGUUAGGGUUGGGCUUGGAGCUAGGAUUUUUCUGAGUGCAAUGAACCAACUCCCGAGUCUCUAGGACGUUCCCUAAAAAAAAUUGAUUUUUUUCCCAUAGGAAUGCAUGGGUUAGGGUUAUGGUUAGGGUUAGGGUUGGAGCUAGGGUUAGGGUUAGGGUUAGGGUUGGAGUUAGGGUUAGUGUUGGAGCUAGGGUUAGGGUUGGGCUUGGAGCUAGGAUUUUUAUGAGUGCACUGAACCAACUCCCGAGUCUCUAGGACAUUCCUAAAAAAAAUUGAUUUUUUCCCAUAGGAAUGCAUGGGUUAGGAUUAUGGUUAGGGUUAGGGUUGGAGCUAGGGUUAGGGUUAGGGUUAGGGUUGGAGUUAGGGUUAGUGUUGGAGCUAGGGUUAGGGUUGGGCUUGGAGCUAGGAUUUUUCUGAGUGCAAUGAACCAACUCCCGAGUCUCUAGGACGUUCCUAAAAAAAUUGAUUUUUUCCCAUAGGAAUGCAUGGGUUAGGGUUAGGGUUAGGGUUGGAGCUAGGGUUAGGGUUAGGGUUAGGGUUGGAGUUAGGGUUAGUGUUGGAGCUAGGGUUAGGGUUGGGCUUGGAGCUAGGAUUUUUCUGAGUGCACUGAACCAACUCCCGAGUCUCUAGGACAUUCCUAAAAAAAUUUGAUUUUUUCCCAUAGGAAUGCAUGGGUUAGGGUUAUGGUUAGGGUUAGGGUUGGAGCUAGGGUUAGGGUUAGGGUUAGGGUUGGAGUUAGGGUUAGUGUUGGAGCUAGGGUUAGGGUUGGGCUUGGAGCUAGGAUUUUUAUGAGUGCACUGAACCAACUCCCGAGUCUCUAGGAUAUUCCUAAAAAAAUUUGAUUUUUUCCCAUAGGAAUGCAUGGGUUAGGGUUAGGGUUAGGGUUGGAGCUAGGGUUAGGGUUAGGGUUAGGGUUGGAGUUAGGGUUAGUGUUGGAGCUAGGGUUAGGGUUGGGCUUGGAGCUAGGAUUUUUCUGAGUGCAAUGAACCAACUCCCGAGUCUCUAGGACGUUCCUAAAAAAAUUUGAUUUUUUCCCAUAGGAAUGCAUGGGUUAGGGUUAGGGUUAGGGUUGGAGCUAGGGUUAGGGUUAGGGUUAGGGUUAGGGUUGGAGUUAGGGUCAGUGUUGGAGCUAGGGUUAGGGUUGGGCUUGGAGCUAGGAUUUUUCUGAGUGCACUGAACCAACUCCCGAGUCUCUAGGACAUUACUAAAAAAAUUUGAUUUUUUCCCAUAGGAAUGCAUGGGUUAGGGUUAGGGUUAGGGUUGGAGCUAGGGUUAGGGUUAGGGUUAGGGUUGGAGUUAGGGUUAGUGUUGGAGCUAGGGUUAGGGUUGGGCUUGGAGCUAGGAUUUUUCUGAGUGCACUGAACCAACUCCCGAGUCUCUAGGACGUUCCUAAAAAAAUUUGAUUUUUUCCCAUAGGAAUGCAUGGGUUAGGGUUAUGGUUAUGGUUAGGGUUGGAGCUAGGGUUAGGGUUAGGGUUAGGGUUGGAGUUAGGGUUAGUGUUGGAGCUAGGGUUAGGGUUGGGCUUGGAGCUAGGAUUUUUCUGAGUGCAAUGAACCAACUCCCGAGUGUCUAGAACGUUCCUAAAAAAAAUUGAUUUUUUCCCAUAGGAAUGCAUGGGUUAGGGUUAGGGUUAGGGUUGGAGCUAGGGUUAGGGUUAGGGUUAGGGUUGGAGUUAGGGUUAGUGUUGGAGCUAGGGUUAGGGUUGGGCUUGGAGCUAGGAUUUUUCUGAGUGCAAUGAACCAACUCCCGAGUCUCUAGGACGUUCCUAAAAAAAUUUGUUUUUUUCCCAUAGGAAUGCAUGGGUUAGGGUUAUGGUUAAGGUUAGGGUUGGAGCUAGGGUUAGGGUUAGGGUUAGGGUUGGAGUUAGGGUUAGUGUUGGAGCUAGGGUUAGGGUUGGGCUUGGAGCUAGGAUUUUUCUGAGUGCAAUGAACCAACUCCCGAGUCUCUAGGACGUUCCUAAAAAAAUUUGAUUUUUUCCCAUAGGAAUGCAUGGGUUAGGGUUAUGGUUAGGGUUAGGGUUGGAGCUAGGGUUAGGGUUAGGGUUAGGGUUGGAGUUAGGGUUAGUGUUGGAGAUAGGGUUAGGGUUGGGCUUGGAGCUAGGAUUUUUCUGAGUGCAAUGAACCAACUCCCGAGUCUCUAGGACGUUCCUAAAAAAAUUUGAUUUUUUCCCAUAGGAAUGCAUGGGUUAGGGUUAGGGUUAGGGUUGGAGCUAGGGUUAGGGUUAGGGUUAGGGUUGGAGUUAGGGUUAGUGUUGGAGCUAGGGUUAGGGUUGGGCUUGGAGCUAGGAUUUUUCUGAGUGCAAUGAACCAACUCCCGAGUCUCUAGGACGUUCCUAAAAAAAUUUGAUUUUUUCCCAUAGGAAUGCAUGGGUUAGGGUUAGGGUUAGGGUUGGAGCUAGGGUUAGGGUUAGGGUUAGGGUUGGGGUUAGGGUUGGAGCUAGGGUUAGGGUUAGGGUUAGGGUUGGAGUUAGGGUUAGUGUUGGAGCUAGGGUUAGGGUUGGGCUUGGAGCUAGGAUUUUUCUGAGUGCAAUGAACCAACUCCCGAGUCUCUAGGACGUUCCUAAAAAAUUUUGAUUUUUUCCCAUAGGAAUGCAUGGGUUAGGGUUAGGGUUAGGGUUGGAGUUAGGGUUAGUGUUGGAGCUAGGGUUAGGGUUGGGCUUGGAGCUAGGAUUUUUCUGAGUGCAAUGAACCAACUCCCGAGUCUCUAGGACGUUCCUAAAAAAAUUUGAUUUUUUCCCAUAGGAAUGCAUGGGUUAGGGUUAGGGUUAGGGUUGGAGCUAGGGUUAGGGUUAGGGUUAGGGUUGGAGUUAGGGUUAGUGUUGGAGCUAGGGUUAGGGUUGGGCUUGGAGCUAGGAUUUUUCUGAGUGCAAUGAACCAACUCCCGAGUCUCUAGGACGUUCCAAAAAAAUUUUGAUUUUUUUCCCAUAGGAAUGCAUGGGUUAGGGUUAUGGUUAGGGUUAGGGUUGGAGCUAGGGUUAGGGUUAGGGUUAGGGUUGGAGUUAGGGUUAGUGUUGGAGCUAGGGUUAGGGUUGGGCUUGGAGCUAGGAUUUUUCUGAGUGCAAUGAACCAACUCCCGAGUCUCUAGGACGUUCCUAAAAAAAUUUGAUUUUUUCCCAUAGGAAUGCAUGGGUUAGGGUUAGGGUUAGGGUUGGAGCUAGGGUUAGGGUUAGGGUUAGGGUUAGGGUUGGAGUUAGGGUUAGUGUUGGAGCUAGGGUUAGGGUUGGGCUUGGAGCUAGGAUUUUUCUGAGUGCAAUGAACCAACUCCCGAGUCUCUAGGACGUUCCUAAAAAAUUUGAUUUUUUCCCAUAGGAAUGCAUGGGUUAGGGUUAGGGUUAGGGUUGGAGCUAGGGUUAGGGUUAGGGUUAGGGUUAGGGUUGGAGUUAGGGUUAGUGUUGGAGCUAGGGUUAGGGUUGGGCUUGGAGCUAGGAUUUUUCUGAGUGCACUGAACCAACUCCCGAGUCUCUAGGACAUUCCUAAAAAAAUUUGAUUUUUUCCCAUAGGAAUGCAUGGGUUAGGGUUAGGGUUAGGGUUGGAGCUAGGGUUAGGGUUAGGGUUAGGGUUGGAGUUAGGGUUAGUGUUGGAGCUAGGGUUAGGGUUGGGCUUGGAGCUAGGAUUUUUCUGAGUGCACUGAACCAACUCCCGAGUCUCUAGGACGUUCCUAAAAAAAUUUGAUUUUUUCCCAUAGGAAUGCAUGGGUUAGGGUUAUGGUUAGGGUUAGGGUUGGAGCUAGGGUUAGGGUUAGGGUUAGGGUUGGAGUUAGGGUUAGUGUUGGAGCUAGGGUUAGGGUUGGGCUUGGAGCUAGGGUUUUUCUGAGUGCAAUGAACCAACUCCCGAGUCUCUAGGACGUUCCUAAAAAAAUUUGAUUUUUUCCCAUAGGAAUGCAUGGGUUAGGGUUAGGGUUAGGGUUGGAGCUAGGGUUAGGGUUAGGGUUAGGGUUGGAGUUAGGGUUAGUGUUGGAGCUAGGGUUAGGGUUGGGCUUGGAGCUAGGAUUUUUCUGAGUGCAAUGAACCAACUCCCGAGUCUCUAGGACGUUCCUAAAAAAAUUUGAUUUUUUCCCAUAGGAAUGCAUGGGUUAGGGUUAGGGUUAGGGUUAGGGUUGGAGCUAGGGUUAGGGUUAGGGUUAGGGUUGGAGUUAGGGUUAGUGUUGGAGCUAGGGUUAGGGUUGGGCUUGGAGCUAGGAUUUUUCUGAGUGCAAUGAACAAACUCCCGAGUCUCUAGGACGUUCCUAAAAAAAUUUGAUUUUUUCCCAUAGGAAUGCAUGGGUUAGGGUUAGGGUUAGGGUUGGAGCUAGGGUUAGGGUUAGGGUUAGGGUUGGAGUUAGGGUUAGUGUUGGAGCUAGGGUUAGGGUUGGGCUUGGAGCUAGGAUUUUUCUGAGUGCAAUGAACCAACUCCCGAGUCUCUAGGACGUUCCUAAAAAAAUUUGUUUUUUUCCCAUAGGAAUGCAUGGGUUAGGGUUAGGGUUAGGGUUGGAGCUAGGGUUAGGGUUAGGGUUAGGGUUGGGGUUAGGGUUGGAGCUAGGGUUAGGGUUAGGGUUAGGGUUGGAGUUAGGGUUAGUGUUGGAGCUAGGGUUAGGGUUGGGCUUUGAGCUAGGAUUUUUCUGAGUGCACUGAACCAACUCCCGAGUCUCUAGGACGUUCCUAAAAAAAUUGAUUUUUUUCCCAUAGGAAUGCAUGGGUUAGGGUUAGGGUUAGGGUUAGGGUUAGGGUUAGGGUUAGGGUUAGUGUUGGAGCUAGGGUUAGGGUUGGGCUUGGAGCUAGGAUUUUUCUGAGUGCAAUGAACCAACUCCCGAGUCUCUAGGACGUUCCUAAAAAAAUUUGAUUUUUUCCCAUAGGAAUGCAUGGGUUAGGGUUAGGGUUAGGGUUGGAGCUAGGGUUAGGGUUAGGGUUAGGGUUGGAGUUAGGGUUAGUGAUGGAGCUAGGGUUAGGGUUGGGCUUGGAGCUAGGAUUUUUCUGAGUGCAAUGAACCAACUCCCGAGUCUCUAGGACGUUCCAAAAAAAAUUUGAUUUUUUCCCAUAGGAAUGCAUGGGUUAGGGUUAUGGUUAGGGUUAGGGUUGGAGCUAGGGUUAGGGUUAGGGUUAGGGUUGGAGUUAGGGUUAGUGUUGGAGCUAGGGUUAGGGUUGGGCUUGGAGCUAGGAUUUUUCUGAGUGCAAUGAACCAACUCCUGAGUCUCUUGGACGUUCCUAAAAAAAUUUGAUUUUUUCCCAUAGGAAUGCAUGGGUUAGGGUUAGGGUUAGGGUUGGAGCUAGGGUUAGGGUUAGGGUUAGGGUUGGAGUUAGGGUUAGUGUUGGAGCUAGGGUUAGGGUUGGGCUAUGAGCUAGGAUUUUUCUGAGUGCAAUGAACCAACUCCCGAGUCUGUAGGACGUUCCUAAAAAAAUUUGUUUUUUUCCCAUAGGAAUGCAUGGGUUAGGGUUAGGGUUAGGGUUGGAGCUAGGGUUAGGGUUAGGGUUAGGGUUGGAGUUAGGGUUAGUGUUGGAGCUAGGGUUAGGGUUGGGCUUGGAGCUAGGAUUUUUCUGAGUGCACUGAACCAACUCCCGAGUCUCUAGGACAUUCCUAAAAAAAAUUAUUUUUUCCCAUAGGAAUGCAUGGUUUAGGGUUAUGGUUAGGGUUAGGGUUGGAGCUAGGGUUAGGGUUAGGGUUAGGGUUGGAGUUAGGGUUAGUGUUGGAGCUAGGGUUAGGGUUGGGCUUGGAGCUAGGAUUUUUCUGAGUGCAAUGAACCAACUCCCGAGUGUCUUGAACGUUCCUAAAAAAAAUUGAUUUUUUCCCAUAGGAAUGCAUGGGUUAGGGUUAGGGUUAGGGUUGGAGCUAGGGUUAGGGUUAGGGUUAGGGUUGGAGUUAGGGUUAGUGUUGGAGCUAGGGUUAGGGUUGGGCUUGGAGCUAGGAUUUUUCUGAGUGCAAUGAACCAACUCCCGAGUCUCUAGGACGUUCCUAAAAAAAUUUGAUUUUUUCCCAUAGGAAUGCAUGGGUUAGGGUUAGGGUUAGGGUUGGAGCUAGGGUUAGGGUUAGGGUUAGGGUUGGAGUUAGGGUUAGUGUUGGAGCUAGGGUUAGGGUUGGGCUUGGAGCUAGGAUUUUUCUGAGUGCAAUGAACCAACUCCCGAGUCUCUAGGACGUUCCUAAAAAAAUUUGAUUUUUUACCCAUAGGAAUGCAUGGGUUAGGGUUAGGGUUAGGGUUGGAGCUAGGGUUAGGGUUAGGGUUAGGGUUGGAGUUAGGGUUAGUGUUGGAGCUAGGGUUAGGGUUGGGCUUGGAGCUAGGAUUUUUCUGAGUGCAAUGAACCAACUCCCGAGUCUCUAGGACGUUCCUAAAAAAAUUUGAUUUUUUUCCCAUAGGAAUGCAUGGGUUAGGGUUAGGGUUAGGGUUAGGGUUGGAGCUAGGGUUAGGGUUAGGGUUAGGGUUGGAGUUAGGGUUAGUGUUGGAGCUAGGGUUAGGGUUGGGCUUGGAGCUAGGAUUUUUCUGAGUGCAAUGAACCAACUCUCGAGUCUCUAGGACGUUCCUAAAAAAAUUAGAUUUUUUUCCCAUAGGAAUGCAUGGGUUAGGGUUAGGGUUAGGGUUGGAGCUAGGGUUAGGGUUAGGGUUAGGGUUGGAGGUAGGGUUAGUGUUGGAGCUAGGGUUAGGGUUGGGCUUGGAGCUAGGAUUUUUCUGAGUGCAAUGAACCAACUCCCGAGUCUCUAGGACGUUCCUAAAAAAAUUUGAUUUUUUCCCAUAGGAAUGCAUGGGUUAGGGUUAGGGUUAGGGUUGGAGCUAGGGUUAGGGUUAGGGUUAGGGUUGGAGUUAGGGUUAGUGUUGGCGCUAGGGUUAGGGUUGGGCUUGGAGCUAGGAUUUUUCUGAGUGCAAUGAACCAACUCCCGAGUCUCUAGGACGUUCCUAAAAAAAUUUGAUUUUUUCCCAUAGGAAUGCAUGGGUUAGGGUUAGGGUUAGGGUUAGGGUUGGAGCUAGGGUUAGGGUUAGGGUUAGGGUUGGAGUUAGGGUUAGUGUUGGAGCUAGGGUUAGGGUUGGGCUUGGAGCUAGGAUUUUUCUGAGUGCAAUGAACCAACUCCCGAGUCUCUAGGACGUUCCUAAAAAAAUUUGAUUUUUUCCCAUAGGAAUGCAUGGGUUAGGGUUAGGGUUAGGGUUGGAGCUAGGGUUAGGGUUAGGGUUAGGGUUGGAGUUAGGGUUAGGGUUAGGGUUAGGGUUAAGGUUGGAGCUAGGGUUAGGGUUAAGGUUAGGAUUAGGGUGGAGCUAGGGUUAGGGUUAGGGUUAGAGCUAGGGUUAGGGUUAGGGUUAGGGUUGGAGCUAGGGUUAGGGUUAGGGUUGGAGUUAGGGUUAGUGUUGGAGCUAGGGUUAGGGUUAGGAUUAGGGUUGGAGUUAGGGUUAGGGUUAGGGUUAAGGUUGGAGCUAGGGUUAGGGUUAGGGUUAGGAUUAGGGUGGAGCUAGGGUUAGGGUUAGGGUUAGAGCUAGGGUUAGGGUUAGGGUUAGGGUUGGAGCUAGGGUUAGGGUUAGGGUUAGGGUUGGAGUUAGGGUUAGUGUUGGAGCUAGGGUUAGGGUUGGGCUUGGAGCUAGGAUUUUUCUGAGUGCAAUGAACCAACUCCCGAGUCUCUAGGACGUUCCUAAAAAAAUUUGAUUUUUUCCCAUAGGAAUGCAUGGGUUAGGGUUAGGGUUAGGGUUGGAGCUAGGGUUAGGGUUAGGGUUAGGGUUGGAGUUAGGGUUAGUGUUGGAGCUAGGGUUAGGGUUGGGCUUGGAGCUAGGAUUUUUCUGAGUGCAAUGAACCAACUCCCGAGUCUCUAGGACGUUCCUAAAAAAAUUUGAUUUUUUUCCCAUAGGAAUGCAUGGGUUAGGGUUAGGGUUAGGGUUGGAGCUAGGGUUAGGGUUAGGGUUAGGGUUGGAGUUAGGGUUAGUGUUGGAGCUAGGGUUAGGGUUGGGCUUGGAGCUAGGAUUUUUCUGAGUGCAAUGAACCAACUCCCGAGUCUCUAGGACGUUCCUAAAAAAAUUUGAUUUUUCCCAUAGGAAUGCAUGGGUUAGGGUUAGGGUUAGGGUUAGGGUUGGAGCUAGGGUUAGGGUUAGGGUUAGGGUUGGAGUUAGGGUUAGUGUUGGAGCUAGGGUUAGGGUUGGGCUUGGAGCUAGGAUUUUUCUGAGUGCAAUGAACCAACUCCCGAGUCUCUAGGACGUUCCUAAAAAAAUUUGAUUUUUUCCCAUAGGAAUGCAUUGGUUAUGGUUAGGGUUAGGGUUGGAGCUAGGGUUAGGGUUAGGGUUAGGGUUAGGGUUGGAGUUAGGGUUAGUGUUGGAGCUAGGGUUAGGGUUGGGCUUGGAGUUAGGAUUUUUCUGAGUGCAAUGAACCAACUCCCGAGUCUCUAGGACGUUCCUAAAAAAAUUGUUUUUUUCCCAUAGGAAUGCAUGGGUUAGGGUUAGGGUUAGGGUUGGAGCGUAGGGUUAGGGUUAGGGUUAGGGUUGGAGUUAGGGUUAGUGUUGGAGCUAGGGUUAGGGUUGGGCUUGGAGCUAGGAUUUUUUGAGUGCAAUGAACCAACUCCCGAGUCUCUAGGACGUUCCUAAAAAAAUUUGAUUUUUUCCCAUAGGAAUGCAUGGGUUAGGGUUAGGGUUAGGGUUGGAGCUAGGGUUAGGGUUAGGGUUAGGGUUGGAGUUAGGGUUAGUGUUGGAGCUAGGGUUAGGGUUGGGCUUGGAGCUAGGAUUUUUCUGAGUGCAAUGAACCAACUCCCGAGUCUCUAGGACGUUCCUAAAAAAAUUUGAUUUUUUCCCAUGGGAAUGCAUGGGUUAGGGUUAGGGUUAAGGUUGGAGCUAGGGUUAGGGUUAGGGUUAGGGUUGGAGUUAGGGUUAGUGUUGGAGCUAGGGUUAGGGUUGGGCUUGGAGCUAGGAUUUUUCUGAGUGCAAUGAGCCAACUCCCGAGUCUCUAGGACGUUCCUAAAAAAAUUUUGAUUUUUUCCCAUAGGAAUGCAUGGGUUAGGGUUAGGGUUAGGGUUGGAGCUAGGGUUAGGGUUAGGGUUAGGGUUGGAGUUAGGGUUAGUGUUGGAGCUAGGGUUAGGGUUGGGCUUGGAUCUAGGAUUUUUCUGAGUGCAAUGAACCAACUCCCGAGUCUCUAGGACGUUCCUAAAAAAAUUUGAUUUUUUCCCAUAGGAAUGCAUGGGUUAGGGUUAGGGUUAGGGUUGGAGCUAGGGUUAGGGUUAGGGUUAGGGUUGGAGUUAGGGUUAGUGUUGGAGCUAGGGUUAGGGUUGGGCUUGGAGCUAGGAUUUUUCUGAGUGCAAUGAACCAACUCCCGAGUCUCUAGGACGUUCCUAAAAAAAUUUGAUUUUUUCCCAUGGGAAUGCAUGGGUUAGGGUUAGGGUUAAGGUUGGAGCUAGGGUUAGGGUUAGGGUUAGGGUUGGAGUUAGGGUUAGUGUUGGAGCUAGGGUUAGGGUUGGGCUUGGAGCUAGGAUUUUUCUGAGUGCAAUGAGCCAACUCCCGAGUCUCUAGGACGUUCCUAAAAAAAUUUGUUUUUUUCCCAUAGGAAUGCAUGGGUUAGGGUUAGGGUUAGGGUUGGAGCUAGGGUUAGGGUUAGGGUUAGGGUUGGAGUUAUGGUUAGUGUUGGAGCUAGGGUUAGGGUUGGGCUUGGAUCUAGGAUUUUUCUGAGUGCAAUGAACCAACUCCCGAGUCUCUAGGACGUUCCUAAAAAAAUUUGAUUUUUUCCCAUGGGAAUGCAUGGGUUAGGGUUAGGGUUAAGGUUGGAGCUAGGGUUAGGGUUAGGGUUAGGGUUGGAGUUAGGGUUAGUGUUGGAGCUAGGGUUAGGGUUGGGCUUGGAGCUAGGAUUUUUCUGAGUGCAAUGAGCCAACUCCCGAGUCUCUAGGACGUUCCUAAAAAAAUUUGUUUUUUUCCCAUAGGAAUGCAUGGGUUAGGGUUAGGGUUAGGGUUGGAGCUAGGGUUAGGGUUAGGGUUAGGGUUGGAGUUAUGGUUAGUGUUGGAGCUAGGGUUAGGGUUGGGCUUGGAUCUAGGAUUUUUCUGAGUGCAAUGAACCAACUCCCGAGUCUCUAGGACGUUCCUAAAAAAAUUUGAUUUUUUCCCAUAGGAAUGCAUGGGUUAGGGUUAGGGUUAGGGUUGGAGCUAGGGUUAGGGUUAGGGUUAGGGUUGGAGUUAGGGUUAGUGUUGGAGCUAGGGUUAGGGUUGGGCUUGGAGCUAGGAUUUUUCUGAGUGCAAUGAACCAACUCCCGAGUCUCUAGGACGUUCCUAAAAAAAUUUGAUUUUUUCCCAUAGGAAUGCAUGGGUUAGGGUUAGGGUUAGGGUUGGAGCUAGGGUUAGGGUUAGGGUUAGGGUUGGAGUUAGGGUUAGGGUUAGGGUUAAGGUUGGAGCUAGGGUUAGGGUUAGGGUUAGGAUUAGGGUGGAGCUAGGGUUAGGGUUAGGGUUAGAGCUAGGGUUAGGGUUAGGGUUAGGGUUGGAGCUAGGGUUAGGGUUAGGGUUAGGGUUGGAGUUAGGGUUAGUGUUGGAGCUAGGGUUAGGGUUGGGCUUGGAGCUAGGAUUUUUCUGAGUGCAAUGAACCAACUCCCGAGUCUCUAGGACGUUCCUAAAAAAAUUUGAUUUUUUCCCAUAGGAAUGCAUGGGUUAGGGUUAGGGUUAGGGUUGGAGCUAGGGUUAGGGUUAGGGUUAGUGUUGGAGCUAGGGUUAGGGUUGGGCUUGGAGCUAGGAUUUUUCUGAGUGCAAUGAACCAACUCCCGAGUCUCUAGGACGUUCCUAAAAAAUUUGAUUUUUUCCCAUAGGAAUGCAUGGGUUAGGGUUAGGGUUAGGGUUGGAGCUAGGGUUAGGGUUAGGGUUAGGGUUGGAGUUAGGGUUAGUGUUGGAGCUAGGGUUAGGGUUGGGCUUGGAGCUAGGAUUUUUCUGAUUGCAAUGAACCAACUCCCGAUUCUCUAGGACGUUCCUAAAAAAAUUUGAUUUUUUCCCAUGGGAAUGCAUGGGUUAGGGUUAGGGUUAGGGUUGGAGCUAGGGUUAGGGUUAGGGUUAGGGUUGGAGUUAGGGUUAGUGUUGGAGCUAGGGUUAGGGUUGGGCUUGGAGCUAGGAUUUUUCUGAGUGCAAUGAACCAACUCCCGAGUCUCUAGGACGUUCCUAAAAAAAUUUGAUUUUUUCCCAUAGGAAUGCAUGGGUUAGGGUUAGGGUUAGGGUUAGGGUUGGAGCUAGGGUUAGGGUUAGGGUUAGAGGUUGGAGUUAGGGUUAGUGUUGGAGCUAGGGUUAGGGUUGGGCUUGGAGCUAGGAUUUUUCUGAGUGCAAUGAACCAACUCCCGAGUCUCUAGGACGUUCCUAAAAAAUUUGAUUUUUUCCCAUAGGAAUGCAUGGGUUAGGGUUAGGGUUAGGGUUAGGGUUGGAGCUAGGGUUAGGGUUAGGGUUAGAGCUAGGGUUAGGGUUAGUGUUGGAGCUAGGGUUAGGGUUGGGCUUGGAGCUAGAUUUUUCUGAGUGCAAUGAACCAACUCCCGAGUCUCUAGGACGUUCCUAAAAAAAUUUGAUUUUUUCCCAUAGGAAUGCAUGGGUUAGGGUUAGGGUUAGGGUUGGAGCUAGGGUUAGGGUUAGGGUUAGUGUUGGAGCUAGGGUUAGGGUUGGGCUUGGAGCUAGGAUUUUUCUGAGUGCA